rnacentral:lncRNA from 1 species
UUUGUGUUUGUGGCAGCUAGUGGUGGACCCCGCUGCCUUCUCUCUCUCUCUCCGUCUUCCUCUCCGUGCUUUACCAACCUACGAGAUGAUGCUUGGGAGGUUAAGGUCUUCCCAAGGCCGCAUCCUUGGAGUAAUUAUAAGGGUAGGAAGCCGUGGAAAUAUUCCUUUGCGCGAAGGCUCUCAAACAUAUGUGAGCAAAUAUGAUUGGAUUAGCAAGAACAUAAUAAUCACUUGGUGUGGUACCCCAGGGUCAUAAAUAAAGGAAAGACCAGUCCUUGUGGAGCUUGGGAGUAGGGGGGGCAUAGGGCUGCCAAGUAAGCUCAGGGCAGCCAACGUUGGGUGACGGACCCUCAUGGGUUGGAGGAAUUUCUUUUGAUAAAUUCUUUUUCGUCUGUAAUGGUGGGUAGCUGAGGGCAAGGGUGAAUGGUUCUGGUCAAGAUUCCCACGCUGUGUGUGGGGUUUGUUUCUUUGCUCGAGGAGGGGUCAUAUCUCUUGGGUUUCAAGGGAAGUGGUGCGUACAAUUGUCCUAGACAUCCAUUAUGGGGUAUGAUGAAUGAUCCGUGAGCUUUAUGCUUGUGGACCUUGGAUACCCUACAGCUUACGACAUUCACACACAGAGAGAUNNNNNNNNNNNNNNNNNNNNNNNNNNNNNNNNNNNNNNNNNNNNNNNNNNNNNNNNNNNNNNNNNNNNNNNNNNNNNNNNNNNNNNNNNNNNNNNNNNNNNNNNNNNNNNNNNGAGAGAGAGAGAGAGAGAGAGAGACGUUACUAGUUUGCAUGCAGUAAACUUAGAAAUUACGUUUUCUUUAAACGUAGAAACAGACUUUAUGGGAUUAGUCAUCUAAGCCGCAUGCAACUUCUAGAAUGCGAAUUCAUGCAAGAGAGGGAGAAUCUGGGAAGGGAUGUUUGAAGAGUUGCACCCUGAGCAGAGAGGCUUCUGGUUUCGCAUCACGACUUUAGAGUACGUAGGCUGGUUGGGGGUCCAUCUGGUUCGGGCUACAUUGCCCAUCUUGUAGCCUCAAGCGAUAUCCGAGUUUUACUCCAAAAGAUCCCAUCCCUGGAAUGAGAUCAUAGGAAGACCUGAUCACUGGCUAAAGGCAGGGAGACUUCCAUGCAAAACCUAAGCACCUAUCAUGCAUGCAUGGGUUGGAGCUGAAUAUUAGCUCACUAGGAAGCAGGCAUGCUGCUCGCCAAGGGCAACAGGAGAAAGUAUUGCUCUCCAUCCGCAUCUUUAGGCACUCAGUCUGUUUCCAGAUUCUAGAAAAAUCAAAGUUUUUGGGGCGAUUUAGGUUGUAAAACUAUCAAAGCUGGCACUAUGAGUUGGUAUAAAUUCAUAAAAAAUGCAGGGUCACAAAAAAAUGCACGUCAGUCCUGGAGCCCUUAACUACUAUAAAGCAUUAACCAUACAUACCAGGUUUUAAUCAUGUGAAUUUGGCUCCAAAAUGGUUUUGCAAGCAAUGAAAGGCUUAAACCAAGUCAUCUUCUAUAACCUCAGUAAUAUAAACUAUAAUUAUUAGCGUAUCAUCAGUAUUCAAAUGCCAUCAUUACCAUCCUCGAUUCCAAAUCUUUUGAAAUAAUUUCUUUUUAAUGGAAACAUACAAUAUGUUAGUGGGGAAUAUAUCAUAUAUGUAAAGCUUUUUGUGGUAUAAAUCUUUUGAAAUAAUUUCUUUUGCAUGGAAUCAGACAAAAUUUCAUAUCUUCUCUGAGAUUCUGUGCAAAGCGUGCUGCUUCUCUCCCUUUCCAAUGUCUUGCCACAAGUUUCUUUGUUUUCUUCCUAAGCAAAUGUUUUUUAGAUUUAUGCCCCACUUUAUAUAGAUUCCACGUCCUUGGGUUAAUUACCAGGUGUAUAACCGCUCAACAAAUCAAAAGUACUUGACGAAAUGAUGAUCCAUUUUCUAUUAUGUAUUGAUUUCUAUAUGCAAGACAAAAGAAUAAGAAAAUAGUUCCUUGCAGCGUAUCCAUUCUCUGUUCUAGAUCUCCACCAAUGCCAUGUACAGGUUCUCUCAUUGGAUGUGUUUGGCUUUAGGUGGUGGAAAGAAAAGAUUAAAGCUACAACAUUGUGCAAGAAACUGUAAUAGGCUUUUGAUGUGGUUUAUUUCUUUUUAAAUGGUCAAGUCAAAUUUCAAUCUUGGACUAAAAUUACCAACAUCAAGUUGACCUUAUCCAAUUACUAAUUAAAGUUGGUAUUGGUGAUGUUGAUUUUAGCUUAAAUAUUUAAAAAGAGAAGAACAAAGAAGUAUUACUAUAAUGGGUGAUAAUAUAACAUUAACUUCUUAAAAAGCUUCAUCUCAAGAAUAAUUAUUUGUUGCUAAGAAUUCAAAAUGUAGAGUAUUAAUAUUAUUUAUGUUUAAUCCGAAUGCAAUUAUAUAUAUAUUCUUAAAAAAAUUUGAGUUACAUUGCUGCUAAAAAUCUCCACUUCCCUAAUAGCUUAAUCUUGAAUUUGUUUUUUUUAUAAUUUAUGCCUGAGUUUGGUUCUCCAUAUUAUAAUUUUUGUUUUUACUAAAUUGGUAACAAAUAACGGGUACAUCAUUUUUCACCAAAUUCAAGUUGACAUUGUUCUCUUGCCAAAUACACUAUUCAAAUCAUUUAGUUCAAUGCCCUCAUGAAAUUUACUCUGGAUUUUGCUAUGUUGCUGAGAAAAAUGAAGAAGGAAAAAAAAUUAAGUCAAAAUAAAAAAAAUAAAAAUCUUCUAACAUUCAGCCCAACUAAGAGGAAAAACAAAAUCAAAGUCAUCAAGAAAAACGUGCAUAAGACAUGGCUAUUUCAAAGUACUAACUUAUACCUAUUUAUUAUUAUUUUUAAGCCUCACAAAAUCAAUAUUUUAUUUUUGUUUUUACCUCUUUAAACUUUUUUUUAGUUAGCAAAUUAAUAACAGAGAACUAAGAUUUUUCAAUAUCCUUGCUUUCCCUUUCUCAGCAACCAUACUUAGCUUUGUUUCUGCACCAUAAAAUUCACAGGAAAAUAUGACGUACGGCGUACAUGAUAGCCUCCAGGAGUAUCAAAAUGUAUUGUAUAGCACUCGGCUCAGUAUUAUUUAUUUAUAAAAAUAACAAAAAUGGACCGCCGGUGAGCCACCGCCUACUCCCGGUUAUCAACCGGCAGCGGCAGGCGAUUCCGGUCUGAAAGAGAAGAUAUUAACUCCCUUGCCCUCCACGUUAAUGGCCAAAGAUCUCUCUCUCUCUCUCUCUCUCUCUCUCUCUCUCUCUCUCUACCNNNNNNNNNNNNNNNNNNNNCUCUCUCUCUCUCUCUCUCUCUCUCUCUCUCUCCCCCUCUCUCGGAAUUAUUAUGAAAUCUAUUUAAACGAAAAAUAGACAACCCAAAAACCGCCCCUCGGCGCUCCCCGCGACACUUCUCUCCGGCCGGAGACCCCAGCUGCGCGAAAAAAUCGCCGAUCUCUCCACCUCGCCAUAGUCUUUUUCGCGCCCCCUUUAUAUGACGAGCAACCUCCCCUCCCCCGGUCCGGUUCUCUCGUAACGGAAAACCGCCAUUGUACCCGAAGCCGGUCCGCCGGGAGCUGCUGGGUCCGCUUACCCUGGGAGCCGGCGGGGUAGAGCCCGCGAGACGGAUCUUGGGUUCCUUUCAUCCUCCUCUUAGCUAGCUCGCUCGCUCUCUCUCUCUCUCUCUCUCUCUCAUCUUUGCGCUGGUCUCUUCUCUGACGCUCCAUCGAGAUUCGUGCUGAGAGGGGUGAUGGCGCCGGCACCGGAGCUGAGGGAGGUGCUCGGCAGGCUCUGCGGUGGGGGUGGAUGGGCGUACGGGGUGCUCUGGCGCGUGGAUCGCCGCGAUCCCCGGUAGCGAUCGGCCUUGAUCUGCUUGUUUGUUUGUUUGUUUGUCUUUAUUCUUGCGUGGUGUUUCUUGGAAGGAGUUUUUUUUUCCCCCUUUCUUUUUUCUUUUUUCUUCAGUGUCUUUCUGGGAAUCUCUGAAGUCUGAGUUUUCUCUGUGAUGUGGGCUUUCAUGGAUUUGUUUUUUAGUUGGGUUUUAAUGUCUUUCUGCUCCUAUUUGUUGGCUCGUUGUUUUUUUUUUUUUUUGAAAUUUUAGAGCAUGGACUAAAUUGGUAGCAAAUAGUUCGAACUAAAAAUUACUCCUUUUUUGGCAUUUUACUAGUUCGUUUUGUUAUUUAUUUAUUAAUUUAUUUUUUACAUCAUUACCUUUGUUGGUUUUGUGAUCGAUGGUUUUAGGAGAAUAUUCUUUAUCCGGUGGAUUUACGAAGGGUUCUAGCAAAUAAUUAGUGCCCGUUUUUGGACAAUAUGUUUCGGUCCGAGUAGCACUUUUAUUGAAUCACUUUUCUCUUUUACUACAAUCGAAAAUUUUUAACUUUGAUAACUUUUGUUUCCCCUCCUUUCCUUUGUUGGGUUUCAAGUAGCCAUUUUUCUCACAAAAAUGCUAUCUUGAUGGAAAGUGAAUACUGUAAUUCUCUGAUACCAUCAAUUCCAUGAAAGCCAUCAAUUUUUGCUGUUUUUGAAACAUGGGUUGCGGAAUUGAUGAUGGAUGCUGCUGUGAUGACUUACUGCGAGUGCUGAUUUAUAUAUUGAUCUCUCGAAUUUAAGCAUCAGUUCCUCAACUUCAUGGUUGAGACUGGAUUUUUCUUUUGAUUCUUUGAAAUUUUCACAUACCAAUGGGGCUAGAGAAUGCCAUGAUGGAUUUAAUUUGUAACGAAGUACUUGGAUGAUCUCUUUGAUUAAUAUCCACACUGUUUUGAUUACCAGGUUGCUGACGGUAGAAGAUUGCUACUAUGAAGAGCAGGUUCGAGGAGUGCUUGACAAGAUACUUAAUCAGGCCCACAUCGUUGGAGAAGGGUAAGAUUAGCAUAAUUUCAUGAUCUAUUGUAUACGGUAGGCUUCUCUCAGGCCUAAAUUUGUUUUGAGUGUCUUUUAAUUCUAGUUCUCUUUCAUCCGGUUCAUGGAUUCACGUUUAGUUUGAAUGGUAAAAAAUUUGAACUGAAGUGCAGGAUGGGCACAUGAUUUUAUCGUUUAGCUGCAGUAUGCAGCAACUUUCAGAGACAAAAUGUACUUUGUUUUGGAGCUCGAUAUAUGGUCAAACUUGCUCUUCUUGCAGUUUACUGAAAUUUGGCCUGAGUGCCUCUUUCUGGUCAUGCUUGUUUAUAUAUUUUGUUUAGUUACGGAGAUAUUUUUGUUUGUUUAUUAAUCUAUCAUUGGGAAUGCAUCUAACUGUACAAUAUUUUUUGUUUUUAAUAAUAAUGAAAUGGUUGCUUUUUAUUUUAAAGGUAAUUUGUCUUUUUUGAUCAGAAUAAUUGGAGGAGCAGUUAUAAAUGAGAACCAUCAGUGGGUCUACUCUGAUUCUUACCGCAUAAAUUUGAGCCCGACCAACUCUACUGACAAUCCAGACAUAUUUCAGGUACCGUUAGAUGUGUCUACUGACUCUCUUAAUGGCAACUUAACUGAUGCACACACACACACACACAGAGGGAGAGAGAGAGCAAAAGUUAGAAAAAGCCUGUGAAAGUGUCUGAAGACUUAAAAAAAAAAGAGUGGAAGAGAGCAUAAUGUUACAUAAAUAAAUUUUCUGUGAUAUCAAAAUAAAUUUCAAUUUCUUGGCCAUCUUAAUUUUUUGUGGAGCAUCCAUUUUAUUAAGAAAAAGAGUUUCAAAUGUCUUAUAAUGGUAUUCGUUAUAUUAAGAAAAAAUGAUGAUUUGCACAAGUAUAUAUAUAUGGUUUUUAGACUUCAUGCUGAUUUUGUAAAGUAUAACUAUGUACUACUGUAUUAGUUAUCAUUGGUUGUCUAAAUUAACUUUUCUAGUGCAUGUUUCAUAAUAGUUUAUUGUUCCGUUUUGGUUUGCUACAUUAUUGAGACUGUUAAAUGUCUUAUAAUGGUAUAUGCUCAAUACACUACAUUUAAUUAUCUGACUAAAUUUCUUUUCUAGAGUGAUGCUGAAUGGCAACAUCAGUUUACUGCUGGAAUUAAGGUUUGUGUUUAAUUAUUUACUCUUUUGUCCUUGUCCAGAUGCUUGCAUUCUGCCUUACUUCAUAAUAUUGACUUGUCUAAUUUGAAUAGAGAUAUGAGAUCUAAAUUCCUUAUUCAUACACUUGCCAUAUCAAUCUUCAAUGCUGAGCUGCAUAAUUUUGCCACUGAAAAUAAUUGUCCGUUUUACAGACUAUUGCCAUCAUUUCUCUGCCGUCAUCAGGUGUGGUCCAGUUUGGUUCCCCCAAGAAGGUUAGUAAUUAAAAUUCCUUUUAUACUGUCAAUGAUGCUGUUGUACAAACUGAACUCCCAAUUACUUAGUCUCAAAACUUAAGUUUUGUUAUCAUGAUAAGGUUAAAAGAGUAGUUAUCUUAAUCAUGUUUUCUUUCUUAAAAAAUAAAACAGGUUCAAGGUACAUCGCAGACAGAAUCAUUACUGCAUGAUUCACUGAUUUGCAAUUCUCGACGUCGCAUAGUGAUUUUCAAAAGAUAUCUUUAUAAAUUCACCUUCAGAUCAAUAAUUGCUUGAUCAUUUGUUAAUGAGCGGUAACAAGCCUGAAACAUUAAGGCCAUGGAAAGAAUGAGUUAACUAAAUGAGAUCUAUGAAAAGUUUGAAAUAUAAAUUAAAAGGGAAAAAGAAAUGGGGGUGGAAUUCUAAGAGAUGUAAUUAUCAACUAAAGGAAAUAAUAUCAUUUGAUGUGCACCACAUUGCACUUGUUCUGCCAUGUACUUUCUUUUGGAAGCUAAUGGCAGUAAUGAGACAUCCAGGGCUUGCAUUCCUUCAUGCAUAAAUUCAAAGAGACACCUAUAUAUCUACAGCACUAUGUAUCAAUGAGAAAGGUUUGCAUAUAAUGAAAGGUCACCUUUUUAUCAAAAAAGAAGACACCAAAAAUAUUAUGCAAUUCAUAUUUUUAACUUCAGUCAGUAGUUAUUCUGCUUAGGAUGGCAUAGCCGCUUUGGACUCUUUCUAAUGCAUGCACAUCUAUCCACCUCCCAACCAUCAGAAUCCCCUCUUCAAUUAAACAAUAAUGAUUAUUCAUUUAUUCUAUUAGCAUGACCUAGCUUUGGCAAAAUUGUUACUUUAAUUGCUUAUUUAUUGAUGUUGCCUAGAUCAUGACUUCAUAAACUUUGAAACGAAUUGGAAGAUUUUAACAAUUUUAUAAAAUUUCUGAAAAAACUGUUUGUUCUGUUGCACUUGAAUCCACUUGUGGAGCUUUCUAUUCCUUUUGUCAUCUGUAAGUCAAGGUUCUAGUUAACUUCUUACUUGGUUUUAAGUCAUGUAGACAAUGUUUAAAAACACUAAAUGGCACUGCACUGAACACGAUAUGAUGUGGCAUGGGUGCAACAUGGCAUGACUUAUCGUUAUAAAGCUAGAGUGCUCUAAGACAUUAGUGUACUGAACACUUGGCAUAAAAAUAUGAAGUGUAACAUCUGAGAAUCCAAAUGUAAGUUUCAACUCAGUCUUGAACAAUUCUACUUAGAGUGAUGUCACAUUUACCUUAUAUAGUACAAGUACAGAACACUUCUUUCAACAUGGGAACACUUUGUCAUAUUAAAUUUAAGCUUGCUAGCAGCUGACAAAAGGUCGUUAAAAGAGCAAUUUUGAGGAAAACAUCUCUUAAUAAUUAUCUUGCCUUUAAUAUUUGAAAAAUUGAUAUGAAAAAAGAGUGUGCUGUUCUUGUAUGUCAAUGAUAAACUUAAAUGACGAGCUUAGGAAUUAAAUGUCAGUAGUUAAUACAUGAUAGGACAAGAAGUUAAUACAGGAUAGGACAAGGGUUUAAGUUGCAUGAGAAGGGGCAGAGGAGAGCUUGUUGUGUAAUUUGAGAAAAAUUUACUAGAAUAUCAUUAUUCUUCACUUCCUUUGAAUGAAGACUCUACACAGGAAUAACUAAUGAUUGGAAUCUUUAGUAAAUUUACCCAUUUUCUGUGUCUUCAAUUAGACAACAUGCAUAGCUGCAUGCUCAAACCUUGAAAACAAUGCAGAUUGUAAACAUAUGGUGAUAAUGGUAUAUGGAUCUUGGUGCAGUUUGUGGUUGGUCUCUUGAUAGUAGCAAAACUGCAUGUAUUGAGAUGAGAGUUUGCAUGGAUAAAUACCCAGCAUUAGAUCCCAUCACCCUUCCCUCAUUUUUAGGAGAAACAUGAUUACAUGAGUGUACGUUGUCAUUCCUAAAGAAUAACUAUCAUGAUCUGCAGGAUUGCAACCUCUUUUAUCAGAAUUACCUGCUUGCCUUUCCUUUCCAUUAAAGCAUGAUGGAUGAUUCUCAUGCAUGUGUAAAGAUGGUUUUGUCUUCAAAUCACAUAGUUGAUAGCAGGCUAACUGAUUUCAGCAUGGAGAAAUCAUAGUAAAAUGAUUAAACAAUGUCAAUGUAUCAAAUUAUUUGCUAUUAAUCAGUGAAUGGUAUAUUUAACAUGCAUUCAUCAAAACAUGCUGCCAAAAAUUGAAUUACUUGAGCUAUUGUCUUAUCUGACCACAAUGUCUCCAUAUUUAGUCUUUGUGUGAUAUAGUAGUUACUAUGUCAUGGCAUUGAUGAUUUUAACUCAUUUUUGCCGCCAGAUUCCAGAAAAUUUGGAGUUUGUCAAUGAAGUUAAGCAUUCGUUGGAGCAGGUGGAAAGUAUAGUGGGGCUUCCUCCACAUGGAGUAGCUCAUAACGCUUGGACCAUUCAUGAUCCGAAUGCAGCAUCUACCUCUGCAAUUUCAUCCAGAAGGGCUUAUUAUUGUUAUGAGAACACCAAUUCCUUGUGCGGAGACACAAGCAAAAAAUGGAUGACAAGCGCAGAGUCUCUGUCAGAACCUAUUCAGUUUCCAAGUAUUUUCUCACAGGGAUCUUAUCAUGGGUUCAGAUCUCACAGUGGGAGCACGAAUCCUACAGUAUCCAUGUCAGGAGUCUCCGGUUCUGCACUUGUGCUCAAAGAUUCUUUUUAUCCAUUUCAGAAAACACCCUUUAUCAGCAGGAAUUCCUCAUUUUACCAUGCAAACCAAUGCCCUGCGGCCAGUGCUGAAGGUCAAGGACUGCUGUCCCCUAACAUACAGUUUCAGUCUGCUACUAAUUUUCCCAGCCGUUCAGUCACAACCAACUUGAACACAUAUACAUGGGCCAAAGGAAUUGCUGAUCGUACGGUGGUGCACAGACUGUUACCUGGGAUGGGAAUGCAGGGGUUUCCUAGCUUGUUUCCAGCUAAUUCACAUCUUCCUGUUCCCCAUGUGAAUGCACUUCAUCAAGUUUCUGGAGACUCCUCUUCAUCUUGUAGCCCAUAUAGAUUGUAUGAUACAAUGCUUGGCUCAAUAUCUUCUGAGAAAAGCAAAGUUUGCCUUAAUGGUACAGAGAAGUCGCUGGAAAUCCAGCAUUCAUCUUUGUCAUCGUUGACUGUGGGUGGGCUAUCCGGUUCCAAAUCCUUUUGCCGUGAACUUCCAGAUACUUCUGUCACUUUACAAGACAUGACAACCGAACAUUCUCUGUUACUUCAUUCUAAGAAUGAUUCCUUAAAUGGUCUUAUUCAUCUGAAUGAUCAACCACCAGAGCAGGUCUCUGACCUGUCUGUGAAAAUGAAUGAGAUUGUGGUGGGUGCCAGUCCUGUCUCAGCUUGUUUGGCUGAAGGUGAUGGGAAUGACUACACUCCAAUGUCUGGGUCACAAAGCAUGCCAGAUGAGAACUCCACUGCAGCACCAUUGAGCUCUAUGGGUCCAGAAAAUGGUGGGAAAGAAAACUCUUCGAUUAUGCCUUCUCAACCUCCUUCCGAUAAUAACCUGUUUGAUGGCAUGGAAUUGGAUCUAAGCCCAAGCAUUGUUGUGCAGGAAUGCUGGGAUGACAUAAUAAUGCAAGUAGGCAGUGACAGUUGUUCAAAUUUGAGUGCUAAUAUCUCAGAAUGCAUCGCAGAGUUGGACAUGGGCUCUAUGGCAGGUGCUGAAAAAGGGCUGUUCUUAGACUCUGGUCUUGAACAAUUAUUGGAUGCCAUAGUUGGUGAGAAUGCUAAUAGAGCUUCUACUUAUAAUUCUGUGGCUACUAGUGUCAAUCCUAUUGCUGGUCUUGAUUCAGAGCAUAAAUUUUCUACAAUUGCUACAGUAGGUGGGCCUUCAUUGUACAGAAAUCAGGUUGCGCCAGCAGGUCUUCCUUCCAUAAGUACUAAAUCUGAUGUGCUGUUACCUCAUUGCGACUCAGAGAAGAUCAUGCAUGGAUCUCCAAAAGAGGCACUCUCAGUAUCCCAUGUCAGUUCAUGGAUUGAUGAUGGUUGCAGUAUGAAUGCUGGGAGCGCUGUGCUCAAUCAGCCAAAGAAGCCUGAAGAAGCUAUCAAGGUUGUUAAGAAACGGGCAAGACCUGGGGAAAGCACUCGGCCAAGGCCAAAAGAUCGCCAGCAAAUACAAGACCGGGUGAAGGAGUUACGAGAAAUUGUGCCAAAUUGUGCAAAGGUAUUUAUCUCAACUGCUGUUUUGGAUGCUUUCUCUGGCUAUUACCCCAUGCCGUGCUUUCAUCUUCUUCUUUUGAUCGAACAUAACAGUGUAGCAUCGAUGCCUUGUUGGACCGCACGAUAAAACACAUGCUCUUUUUGCAAAGCGUGACGAAGUAUGCAGACAAACUCAAGCAAACUGACGAGCCAAAGGUACAUCAUCGCUUUUUAGUCUGUCCUUCAGAGAUGCUUCUUGAUGAUCAUUUGGUCAAUAUUGAUUGCUUUUCUUUUUCUCUCUCUUUUCUUUGUUUUUAUGUGAAUGUAUAGAUGAUUGUUGAGGAGAGUGGCGUCGUUUUAAAAGACAAUUCAAGUGGUGGCACUGGUGGUGGUGCGACCUGGGCAUAUGAAGUUGCAGGGCAGACCAUGGUCUGCCCGAUAAUAGUCGAGGACCUGACCCCCCCUGGUCAGAUGCUAGUAGAGGUAAUAAACAGUCCAAUUUUGUUUUGAAUCUGUUUCCGCUGUGUGCAAAUUUAAGAUGCCCCAUUCAUUCUCUGAACAGAUGCUUUGCGAAGAACGUGGGUUCUUUCUUGAGAUAGCAGACAUCAUUCGUGGAUUUGGCUUGACUAUCUUGAAAGGAGUGAUGGAAAUUCAUGACAGUAAGAUCUGGGCAAGGUUCCUAGUUGAGGUAGGGCGUGAAUGAGAGACUCUCUAUCGAAAUUCUUGUAGCUUUUUUAUCUCUGUUUCUCAAUUAGAUAGCUUGCUUUGCUUCUGUUGCAGGCUAACAGAGAUGUGACCAGGAUGGAUAUCUUUCUCUCCCUUGUUCAACUUUUGCAACAAACUAGCAGCACUCGAUCUAGGGACCAACUGGCCAAGGUUAUUGACAAAGGGGCUUCCACUUUUGCUAAUUACCAGCACUCUCCCAUGUCAACUCCCAUUAGUCUAGCAGACAGAUUGCACUGAUCCAAGCAUGGUAUCAGCUCAAGAAAUGCCUCGGUAGGUCAUGUGUUCCACAAUGAUGGCAUUUGGGACUCAGAAUUAUGUCCUGACACCAAGAUAGUACAUGCUGGUGUCUUGUCUUGCAUUGUGGCCGAACAUGUCUGAUCCUGGCUAAGAAUGCGGUCUGAGGCAGUGACCAUCAAUAGAGCUUACCUUAUAUUUGAGAAGGGCAUCAUCAGCGGAACAGCCGCUAAGCUUCAGCUGUAUAAGUUUCCCAACAGAAUGAAUAAUAGAAAGAACUCAGUGCAUGGGAAACACGAGUUCAGGGCAAUAGGAUUGUCUCUGGGGCAUAAGCUUGGCGAGCCAAUUUGUUUAUAAUAGUUCUUUAACCAUGUAGCGACGUUGAGAUUUGUACCAUUUGGUUACCUGUUUAUAUGGAAUCAGAUGCUUUUGACCUGAGCAUCAUUGGUUCUGCCUGGUUUCAUCCAUCGACCUUUUUCUAUUUCCGGAUUUUCUUAGUCAGGUCAAUAGGAAAUCAUUAUUCUCGAUUUUCUUAUCUUAUUAAAAGGUAAAACAAAAAUUAACCACUUUGAUGAAGAAGGUCAAAAUAUCUUUUUAAAUUUGCGCACAGCAUUUCUAGGUUUCAUAGUUAACGGCUUGAAAUAAGAGCGUAGUUUAAAAACCAUAUUAUCUUUCAAUUGAGCUUACCUGUAGUUAAUUCAAAUUCAAUUUGUUAAUUCAAUUCAAAUAACGAGGCUAAAUUGAAAGAUAAUACGGCUUGAUAUGGAGGUUAUAUAACCAUUUUAUUUCAUCAAAAAGUCAAAUUCACUUAACAAAUGCAAAAGUGAAGACAUAGGCCACACAAUAAGGCAAUUUAUAUAUACUAUGAAAAGGGUAUGCUUCCUAAUUAUUUUAUUUUAUUUUUAACAUUACAUGUGAGUAAUGUUUAUUUCAAUUUUUCUUUGCCGCUCUCUCCGUAAAAGCCCAAAUCCUCCGCGCUGCGAUCUGCCAGCUCGGUGAUCGCUGUGUCUACUCCACUGCCAAAUGGUAUCACUAGAGGUGGGCAUUGGGCCGAGCCGCCCAUGGCCCGGCAUAAAGCGGGUCGUGCCAGGCACGGUCCGCUUGCUACAGUAACGGGCCGUGCUAGGCACGGCUCAUAAAAGGGGGCCAGGCUGGGUUAAGGAUUUCUGGCCUGCGGGCCGAACCCGGCACGGCCCAUAAGGGCCUGGGCUGGCACGAUUCGUGGGCCAAGCACGGCACGGCCCGUAAGCCAGCCCGAAACGUCCCAUAAGGGCCUGAAUCGGGCCCGGUCCACAAGGGCCUGGACCGGGCCAGGCACGGCUCGUCCCCCUUAAAAUAAAUAGAAAUAAAAUUUUUUAUUUAUAAUUUUUUCAAUAAAUUAAUAAAUGUUGGGAAGUAAGGAUUUAUUAAUAUAAAGCCACCUUAAUGGUGGGGGGUUUGGUAUAGACCCCUACCAGUUUAUUAAUUUAAAUCAAAAUGGUACAUGAAAGAAGGUUUGAUCUGACCUCCAGAAUACAAUAAGAAAGGAAAAAAAAUAGAGAUGACUCACUUUAACAAUUAAAUAAAUAAAAAUGUACAAUUAUAAAAAAUUAAGAAAUAAAAAUAAAUGAUCAAAAUCUUACUAAUCAUCAGUAUUCACUAUUCAGUAGUGUUUGUAUCAUCAUCAUCAGAGGAUGUUGUAUCAUGUCCACCUUUAUCUUGAAGUCUCGCCUCAGCAUCUAACCAAUCUUUGAAGCAGAGAAGCAUCUCAACCGUUUCGCUAGUCAUCCUACUUCUCUUUUCGUUAACAACACGCCGACCUGCACUAAAAGCGGAUUCCGAUGCUAAUGUGAACAUCGGCACAGCUAAAAUAUCGCGUGCAAUUGCAGACAUAACAGGAUGUUGAUUUUUAACACUCUUCCACCAAAAUAAUACAUCUAGACUCUCUCUAUUUGAUUUUCAUCAUAUGCAGAUUGAAGAUCAUUUCGUAAAUAAAAUUCUAGUUCACUACUUAAAGAUGAAGAAGAUGAAGAUGAACUUAAAGCAUGCGUUUGUUUUCUCUGUGUAAUGAAUGAAAAAAUAGNNNNNNNNNNNNNNNNNNNNNNNNNNNNNNNNNNNNNNNNNNNNNNNNNNNNNNNNNNNNNNNNNNNNNNNNNNNNNNNNNNNNNNNNNNNNNNNNNNNNNNNNNNNNNNNNNNNNNNNNNNNNNNNNNNNNNNNNNNNNNNNNNNNNNNNNNNNNNNNNNNNNNNNNNNNNNNNNNNNNNNNNNNNNNNNNNNNNNNNNNNNNNNNNNNNNNNNNNNNNNNNNNNNNNNNNNNNNNNNNNNNNNNNNNNNNNNNNNNNNNNNNNNNNNNNNNNNNNNNNNNNNNNNNNNNNNNNNNNNNNNNNNNNNNNNNNNNNNNNNNNNNNNNNNNNNNNNNNNNNNNNNNNNNNNNNNNNNNNNNNNNNNNNNNNNNNNNNNNNNNNNNNNNNNNNNNNNNNNNNNNNNNNNNNNNNNNNNNNNNNNNNNNNNNNNNNNNNNNNNNNNNNNNNNNNNNNNNNNNNNNNNNNNNNNNNNNNNNNNNNNNNNNNNNNNNNNNNNNNNNNNNNNNNNNNNNNNNNNNNNNNNNNNNNNNNNNNNNNNNNNNNNNNNNNNNNNNNNNNNNNNNNNNNNNNNNNNNNNNNNNNNNNNNNNNNNNNNNNNNNNNNNNNNNNNNNNNNNNNNNNNNNNNNNNNNNNNNNNNNNNNNNNNNNNNNNNNNNNNNNNNNNNNNNNNNNNNNNNNNNNNNNNNNNNNNNNNNNNNNNNNNNNNNNNNNNNNNNNNNNNNNNNNNNNNNNNNNNNNNNNNNNNNNNNNNNNNNNNNNNNNNNNNNNNNNNNNNNNNNNNNNNNNNNNNNNNNNNNNNNNNNNNNNNNNNNNNNNNNNNNNNNNNNNNNNNNNNNNNNNNNNNNNNNNNNNNNNNNNNNNNNNNNNNNNNNNNNNNNNNNNNNNNNNNNNNNNNNNNNNNNNNNNNNNNNNNNNNNNNNNNNNNNNNNNNNNNNNNNNNNNNNNNNNNNNNNNNNNNNNNNNNNNNNNNNNNNNNNNNNNNNNNNNNNNNNNNNNNNNNNNNNNNNNNNNNNNNNNNNNNNNNNNNNNNNNNNNNNNNNNNNNNNNNNNNNNNNNNNNNNNNNNNNNNNNNNNNNNNNNNNNNNNNNNNNNNNNNNNNNNNNNNNNNNNNNNNNNNNNNNNNNNNNNNNNNNNNNNNNNNNNNNNNNNNNNNNNNNNNNNNNNNNNNNNNNNNNNNNNNNNNNNNNNNNNNNNNNNNNNNNNNNNNNNNNNNNNNNNNNNNNNNNNNNNNNNNNNNNNNNNNNNNNNNNNNNNNNNNNNNNNNNNNNNNNNNNNNNNNNNNNNNNNNNNNNNNNNNNNNNNNNNNNNNNNNNNNNNNNNNNNNNNNNNNNNNNNNNNNNNNNNNNNNNNNNNNNNNNNNNNNNNNNNNNNNNNNNNNNNNNNNNNNNNNNNNNNNNNNNNNNNNNNNNNNNNNNNNNNNNNNNNNNNNNNNNNNNNNNNNNNNNNNNNNNNNNNNNNNNNNNNNNNNNNNNNNNNNNNNNNNNNNNNNNNNNNNNNNNNNNNNNNNNNNNNNNNNNNNNNNNNNNNNNNNNNNNNNNNNNNNNNNNNNNNNNNNNNNNNNNNNNNNNNNNNNNNNNNNNNNNNNNNNNNNNNNNNNNNNNNNNNNNNNNNNNNNNNNNNNNNNNNNNNNNNNNNNNNNNNNNNNNNNNNNNNNNNNNNNNNNNNNNNNNNNNNNNNNNNNNNNNNNNNNNNNNNNNNNNNNNNNNNNNNNNNNNNNNNNNNNNNNNNNNNNNNNNNNNNNNNNNNNNNNNNNNNNNNNNNNNNNNNNNNNNNNNNNNNNNNNNNNNNNNNNNNNNNNNNNNNNNNNNNNNNNNNNNNNNNNNNNNNNNNNNNNNNNNNNNNNNNNNNNNNNNNNNNNNNNNNNNNNNNNNNNNNNNNNNNNNNNNNNNNNNNNNNNNNNNNNNNNNNNNNNNNNNNNNNNNNNNNNNNNNNNNNNNNNNNNNNNNNNNNNNNGACGGGCCUGGGGCCGGGCCGGGCUGCCGUUCCGUGCUGAAUGGGCCGGGCCAAGCACGGCCCGUUUAGACCUCGAGCCCGGUGGGCCUGGGCCGGGCCGGCCCGGCACGGCCCGUUGCCCAACUCUAAGCCUGAGCCUUGAAUGAACCAUGAAGCCCGGACUAUCAUCUUCUUUGCAUGUAGAGCCAGAUUUUCAUUAACCAAAACAUCUAUCAUAGCCAGGACAGGAGCAUCCAAGUAAGUAGUUACUCCAUCCUUUCCCGUCUGCCAUUAUGUCUGACUGAAGAGCCAGAUAGGGCCCAAGGAUAUCCAAAUGCCAGGGUUUUGCAUAUGGUGUUCAUUAUGUCCAAAGUCUUCGGGUAAUCUUCUUUUUCUAGAAAAUAAAUUUUUUUUUUUUUGGUUGAUGCUGUUGUUGUUGCUAUAUGACCAUGCACAGCUCUCCGAUGUCCAAAACAUGCACCAUAGAGGAUCUUUGGGGGUGUGGUUGUUGGGUUGUAACCCUUACUAUUAUGGACUCGUUUAGUUCGCGGAAAAUGUGCAGUCAAUGGAAAAACAAAAAAAAUAACUUCUUAUUUGGUUGGAGUUUUCAAAAGAGAGAGAUGAAAAAGUAGCUGGAAGGUAUUAUUUGGGUUCCUUGAUCUUAUAUAAGGAGUCAAGAUUUAUCCAGUAUAUAACCGAUGUAGGACUAAACACAUACAAUCCUCACACAAGGACAAAAGAAUUGAGUUAAAUUGUGGCAGUUCAUAUGGGUGACAUGCAAAAUUGCCAACUGCUUUGAUGGUGAGGAUUGGGAGCAGCUCAGCUCUUGCAGUAAGCAGAGCAGACAGAGUUGUUCGCAAUUUGAUUCCAGACAGCUGGAGUCAUGCUCAAUGAGCUUAGCAUUUCUGCAGAAGUAUUAAAUGUCUGAGAUUUCAUUCAUUUACUGUAAGUUUGUUUGAGUUUUGGUCUCCCCUUAGGUGAAGCCUUAAUGGCAGACUGGGAUGGAGAAAUUUCUGUGGAACAAGUUCAAGUGGUAGUUGAACUAAUUGUCGCCCCUAUGGAAGGAGAGUGUGGAAGUUGCCAUUCUACCAGUGAUUGUCGUGUUUAAUGCACAAUUUCAGGGCCCCCGUCCAGCUUGUAUAGUAGAUAUCUGCUUUCAAAGACAAGUCCUGCGGAAUUGCAAAUCUCAAGCAAUUAUAAUGACCAUUUUUGAGUUUCUGUCUUUGUAGUUUGGAAACAGAAUUCAGUAGAUGUUGGCAAAUAGUUUCCUUGCCUAAUGUCCAUGUAACCGCAAUAAAUUUCAACGUAAUGGUCUUUGGAGAGUUGAAGGACAGUGAUCUAUUCCUACAAAAGAAUGUAACGAGACUGUUAUCAAAUGGUGCCACUUUUUAUUGAUCCGACAAAAAAAGGGAAAAAAUGAUGCCACCCUUAAAUUUAGAUUAAAAAUUUAAAAUUCUCCUACCUCCAAAAGAAGCUCAGAUUUCUUCCCAUCAAAAUGUUGUCUGACAAACCAAACUGCAUUAAAUAUCUCGAACGAAAGCUUAAUGGGAUUUCCGAAGAAUGCAACAGUGGCAGAUGAUGGCUCAACCGGGAGAUAAAAGAAAGAGCUGCAGACUGGAUCUUUCUGCAUCACCUGUCCACUUAUCAGUGAUAUGAACAUAUGGAGGCUAUAGAAUUGCCUGCUUUAAUGUGGGUUCUUGUCUUCUUGAUGGUAUUGACAUGGAGCUCUGUGAAAUUCAACAGCUCCCUGGCAAGAUUGCACCAAUCCCCUCUUGCCAUUUUGGACAAGUAUUUAAGCAGGUAUACAUUGGUGCAGGAGCGGCCCAAUACAUUUGGGAGCCUAAGGCGAACUUGCUAAGAGGGACAUUUUUUCUUUUUUUCUUUUUUGUUUGAGAUCUUUUCUGCAAUAAGCCGGCCUAAGGCGAACUCACUAAGGGAGGUCUUUUUUCUUUCUGUUUUAUCUUUGAGGCAUUUCCUGCAUUGGGCUUUCUUUGGACCGGGGCUUUAAGCGACCGCCUCAAUCGCCUAAGGAUUGGGCCGGCUCUGCAUUGGUGCUUGGUAGCAUGACACUUGCUGCAAAUAUUUUCACCCUGUAUGGAGAAUCAGUUGGUGUCUAUAAGCUUUCUCCAUUUCUUGUUCACUCAACAUUCCACACAUUCUCUGACAUUGUCAUGGAAACGUUCUAGGAAGGAAUAAAUGGAUGACAGAAGUUGGAUUCUCCUACCUUGACCAAACAAAAUGCCACAAGAGAGGAGUAGGAACCACUGAUGAGCUUUGCCUUUGUUUUGGAUUGGUCCCUUUCUGACAAGGGAUAUUGCAUGUCUAUUUCCAAGAAAAAGAAGACAUGGAAAUUUGCAUGGGAAGUGGAUCCAUAUUAUUAUAAAAACGCGUCUCUUUAGAACCAGAAAGAAAAGUGUUUAUGGGACUUGAAAUCGGAUGAGAGGAGUGGAAGCACAUACUAACGGGUUGUUUUCGGGUAAAAUCGGAUAAUGGAUCGGGUCGGGUGGUCGAGUAAGGAGCCGGAUCUGGUUGCGGGCCGGGUCGGUAAGGUUCAGACCCGACCCAUUGACAGGUUUGCCCCUGGUCUUCUCCGGACCCCCCUACCGCACCCUUCUUUACCGAAAGAGUCCUGCCUCCUUGUCCUGCCCGCCCAUACCCUAACCCCCGGGGUCCCAGAGAUCGUCGCCGAGGGAUCAAGAGCCCGCCAUGGCCGAGGGCUUCGAGGAAAAAUUAGCCUAUUUCCAGGCCAUCACCGGCCUCGACGACCCCGAUCUCUGCGCCGAGAUCCUUUCCGCCCACAACUGGGAUCUCGAGCUCGCCAUCUCCGCCUUCACCUCCUCCUCCAGUCCCUCUUCCUCCACUAAUCCCUCCGCCUUCACUGCCGGCGUCGAUGGUGGCGGUGGUUCCAAUCCGGCCGAGUCCUCUCUUGCUCGCCAAGAUGCCGGCGACCGCGCCGCGCCCGGCCUCGCCUGGAAGCUCAUCACCCUCCCCUUCUACGUCGUCUCAGGCGGCAUCGGCCUCAUCACCGGCGCCGUCGGCCUCGGCGUCUGGAUCGCCGGUGGCGUCCUCUCCCGCUCCCUCAACCUUCUCGGCUUCGCCGCACCACGCGGAGCCGAGGCUGACCGGCUGAUCCCCGUCUCGGCGUCUACCGCCGAGGCCGCGGACUUCGUCGCGACCUUCGAGAGGGACUUUGGAGGGGCCGGCGCUGGGAUCCGGUUCGUGGCGGAGGGGUUCAUGGACGCGCUCCAGCGGUCCCAGCGGGAGUACAAGCUUUUGUUCGUGUACCUGCACUCGCCGGACCAUCCGGACGUGCCGGCCUUCUGCUCGGGAUGCCUGUGUUCGGCUCCGGUGGCAGCGUUUGUGAACGAGAACUUUGUGGCUUGGGGCGGGAGCAUAAGGAGGACGGAAGGGUUCAAGAUGAGCAACAGCCUCAAGGCAUCUCGGUUCCCCUUCUGUGCUGUUGUCAUGUCCUCUACCAACCAGCGCAUUGUUCUCCUCCAGCAGGUAAUUUCUUUUACAAUUUCUUUGUUAAACUAUGGAAUUUGGGGACUAGCUUACAUUGAUCUUGCUACAUUUAUACGUUGAGCUUUUCUUCCUUAAUGUCCUGAACUAUAGCUUUGGGUUUUAUUCCUUUAGAUUCUUAUGGAGAGUGAAGGGAAAUGGCAGAAUUUGAUGCGAACAGACCCAACUGUCAAUUAUGGGCUACGUGAUUUUGAAAAUUCUUCAGGGAUAUUAUCAGAAUAGGUGUUUUGAACCACUGAUACGUAAUUGAUCAUAUAUGAGAAGCUCUGUAUAUGUGAAAUAAUUUUUGUAUGAUGGUUGCACCAAAUUAUAUUAAAAGGAUGUCAAAAAUAAUCGUAGAAUGUUAAUAUUUGCAUCCACUGUUAUAUGAAUUUUCGAAGUCCCCAUAAUGGAUACGGCUUCUGCAGUUAUUGUGGCAUUUUUAACAGUUGUGAGCACAUAUUUUAUACAUUCCAGUGAUGAAUAUCCUUUCUAGAUAACCUUUCUCACCACCUGUCAGCAUUGUGAUGUCCCCAAUGGGGAUCUGAAUGGGUGUAUCAAUUUUUAGUCUUUUAGGAUUUUACUUUCUAUUGUCUUUCAACUUUCUUGCUAAAUUUUUGAUCUAUUUUUCUAGUACUUUUCUGAUUCCUAUUGCGAGUAGGUUUAUUAUCUAAAGAUGGAAAUGCCUACAAACGACAGAUUUGUUGAGCCACAAAAGAAUCUAAAUGAGAUUCUCUUCUAUUUAUAUCUAACCUUCAGGGUGUACCAUAUGCAGGCCACAGCAGUAGGACAAUUAAAAUUUUGCCCAUCUCCUAACUGUAGGAAUUUCCUACAACUAGGAUUGUGGAGGAUUUGCACUUAGUAUGGAUUGGGCUAAGAAAAGGUUUAGGACACUAUAGUUGUGUUUAGAAGUGCUUUUAAUGCCUUCCAUAUAGAGUUUCAUUAGAAUACAAAUUUUACAUUUUCAUAAGUGCUUAUUUGUUUUUUAAUAAAAAAUUGAAUAAUUGGAACAUAGUGGAAGUUAGGAUGAUGAAGAGUACUAUUAUAAAUUAAAGAAAAAUGCAAAGGGAUUGAACCUUAUUAACAAAAAGUUUUCUUCAUAGCUAAUUUGCCAUGCAUCGCAGAUCCUCCAAACAUAGAACUUGUAGGGAUUUGAAACCAAAUGCAUUACUCACAAUGGAAGUAAACAUGUUAGUAAUAGAAUCUUCUUCAAAAAGAUCUAAAGGAUAAGCUACAUAAGCAAUAUAUUGAUUUUCCUCAAUAGUUUCGAUGUGGCAAAAUCAUCCUUUGUUACAAUUGUUAAAUUCAUCGGUCCACAUAGUCUUGGGAAAAGGAAAAUGAGGAAAGGAGUUGAUCUAGAGAAUAUGGAUUUUUUGAUCUAGUUUUAUAGUACAGAAUAGAUCUUUUCUUUGCCUUGAAAUUCAGUAUGAGGUGCAUGCUUUACUUAAGGAAAGCACAAGCCAUGAACAGUGUCUGAUAUGGAUGCCCCUGGGUCUCUUUCCUUGCCUUGAUUUGCAAGUUUUAUCAAGUUCCAGGCAUAUUUCUUUAAACGUGGUUUGGUCAAAAGUUUUUUUUUUUGUAUGAUUAGCUUUUUGAAAGAACUCACAAUAUAAUAAUCUUUAACAAGAGUGUCGAUGCUACCAUCUAAGGAGACAGUGACAAAUUAAAUUGUUGUAAAUUCAGCUAAGAGCUACUGCAACAAGUCAAAAAGCUGGGGGAAUUUACUGGAUUGAGUUAAAGGGAUCUUGUUCUUUGUUUAGAGCUAUCUUCUUGUUCCAAGGCCAAGGCCCUAACUAGAAGGUGGGAGCACAUUUUUCAUAUUACCUGGUGGCUGUCAUGGCUUUGAAGAAAUAAGAUAUUCGGGAUAAGCUAGGGAUGGGGUGAUAUGUGAUACUGAGUUCUCCUGUUGCCACCUGGCUGCAAAGUACCUUUCUCAGCUAUGGAAGGUCCUCCAGAGGAAAAUUAUAUAUUUGUAAUUAUAUUAUCUGCUAUUACAAUUGCUUUUUUUCUUUUUUUCUUUUAGAAUGGAAAGUGGAGGAAGUGAGAAACUUCCCCCAGUUUAUUAUAGAAGUAUCAAGAAAAUUACAGUGAUGUUUUACAAGAGAAUAUGGGGAAAUGAAACAUAAAGUGAAUAACUAGAGAAGGGAAGACAAUCUGAUAGAAAUCAUAGAUUGAUUAUUUUCCCCAUUAGAUUAUGGAUACAUCCUGACUGGAUGAGAUGACUGUUCCGCUUCUUUUAUGUGAUCGUCAAGCUAUGGAUUGGAUGCACUGCUUUGAUUCUUUUUUUUUUUUAAUUGCAUGCUUGCAAGAUAUUUCCUUCAAGUUCGGUUGAAUGGGAAUGGAUAGUUUGCAUUGCGUGUAAUAUACCUCUAUACAAUAGGUGAACCAAGUUGAUGAUACUAAAAAUUAAUUUAUAUUUCACAAUUUGUUUGGAUGAUUUGCAAAAAAAUAUUGUAACUGAUAUGUCUUUGCCUGUUAUGCAUAAUGAAAUUCCAUACUUCUAUGCUGAUAGCUUUUUUCUUGAGGAAAAAAAAGAGAUUGUCUCAUAUCUUACAUUUUUUCAGAUUGAAGGACCCAAGUCUUCUGAUGAAAUGCUUGCAAUCCUUCAACGAGUGAUAGAAGAGUGUACACCAUCUCUAGUUACAGCACGGCUUGAGGCAGAAGAACGGAGAAACAACCAGCGCCUGAGAGAAGAGCAAGAUGCUGCAUAUAGAGCUGCACUUGAAGCCGACCAAGUAUCUAGCUUUUCUUUCUUCAGUCUUUUGAUUUCCUUCAUUGCUUUGUUUGUUCAGAUCGCUUGCAUCUGAAACUUUAUGAACUUGUCUGGUAAAUCAGGCUAGAGAGCGUCAGAGGAAAGAAGAACAAGAGAGGUUGGAGAGAGAAGCAGCAGAAGCUGAGAAGAAGCGCAAGGAGGAAGAGGAGGCUAGGGAAAGAGCAGCUCGUGAAGCUGCUGAGAAAGAAGCUGCUUUAGCUAGGAGGCGGCAAGAGAAAGCGAUGUCACUGGGCAUUGAACCUGAAAAAGGGCCAGAUGUUACACAGGUAAGUUCUUUCAAGCUCAAUUUUGUAUUUUUCUUUUUUCAUUUUGUAUGCUUUCAUUUACUAACUGAAAUCUUGAUCUUCAUCAAUGUCUGUAAGUUUAGCAAUGAUAGCUUAUUAAAUUACUAUCUACCUGGAGAAAAAAAUAACAAAAUAUCCCAAGAUGCCUCUUAUCUUCUGUAAUGGAUUUGAUAUGUUCCCUCAAAAUCUGCCAACAAAAAGAUUAGUCCAUAUUUGAUGUAUUUUGUCAUGCUGGUUACUCAGAAAAAAAUUAAAAAAAUAUAUACCUUCAUGCGUUUGCAAAUUCUGUGUUAUUUGCUCUAUGCUCUUACAAUUUCAUUCUUUAUAAAUUAAGUUAUAGGUGUUAUGCUCAUGCUGCAGUCACAUAUUUUUAAUUGAUCAAUCCACAAUAGUCAAAGUAGAAAGGUAGUUUACCAGGAAAAAGUGAAAAGGUAAAGAUAAACCCUGGUGCUUAGGUUUUAUUGCAGUGCUACAGAAAAUUGUAUGUCUGCAUAUUAGGGCAUUUAGUGGACUUGAAUUCACCUAAUAAAGUAGAUGAUAAUGUUCUUCUGCACAUAAUUCACAUAGAAUUAAAUUAUUAUCUUGUUUGUGGUCACUGAGUUUGUAAAAGAGAGAAAUCUGAUGUGGUGAUGUCCAUAAACGUGCUUACCCGAUGCAGGCCUCAAAGUAAGCCUGUUGCUUGAAAGCAACCAGUGAUUCUGUAUGCGAGCUGAUGAAAUCUAUUGCUAGCUAAAUGGUGGCGUUUUUGUUUUGGUGCCAAUUGUCACCUUUUCCUUUCUUCCUCCUUCAUCGAAAUGGAGAGAAUACUUGUCAGUGGAGUUGCCUAGGUUCAAAUGCUUAUUAAAUUACUAUCGCCCAGUGAACCAGUUUUCAGUUAAAAGGCAAAGCAUGGGGAAACUUGAAUAUGUUUUCCCUGCAACAUGUAAAAUAGUAUUUUUUAUAGAAGUAGUCACAAAAUACUAAAUUAUGGUAUUGUUUGGCAUCACUUUCUUCUUUUCCAUUUUCAAAAAACAGAAAAAUAAAAUUCUGUUGCCAGUUUCUUUUUGAAUUUUUGAAAAUAUAAACAUGUUUUGUAUAGUCAAUUUUUUUUUUAAAUAUAAGCAUGGUGAUGGUGGCGGAUGUGAUAUUAGCCGUAACGGAGUUAAUGGUGGCGCUGGUGGUGUUAGUGGUAGGGCGGCGGUGGUAUGACGAAGGUGAUGACGAUGAUGGUGGCAGUGGUGGAGGCACUGACAAUAUAAUAAAGGCAGCGACAAUGGUGACAGUGGUUGCGGCAAGGUUCACCGAACCAGUAUCAAAGAUCGUAUCGAUUGGCAAUCGGUUUGGCAUGGUACAGGUCCGUGCCAUAUCGUUCCGGGGCAUACAGAAAUAGGGGGUCCGGUGAAGGGGAGAGAGGAAUAGAGAGAGAGGGGGAGAGAGGAAGGGAGGGAGGGGGAGAGGGAUGAUAUCCAAGUGUGCCAAUUGCGCAUUUACAUUGACCUACUGGACUGAGUGCACGUAAACCUAUAGUUAAAAUUGGUCCAUGUUAUGACUAUUACCCCCCCCCCCCCAAAAAAAAAAAAUCCCUGGGUGUUGUACUUGUUCUUUACUUCGUGUUAUUUAUGUUAUAUCACAAACUUGUUCUUGAGUGCAUGUAAACCUAUAGUUAAAAUUGGUCCAUGUUAUGACUAUUCUUAAAAUAUUCUCCGUCCCUCCCCCCUCCCCCGUGUGUGUUGUACUUGUUCUUUAGUUCAUGUUAUUUAUGUUAUAUCACAAACUUGUUCUUUAGUCCGUGUUACUUAUGUUAUAUCACGAACUUGUUCUUUAGUUCGUGCUAUUUAUGUUAUAUCACGAACUUGUCCUUUACUUCGUGUUAUUUAUGUUAUUUCACGAACUUGUCCUUUACUUCGUGUUAUUUAUGUUAUAUCACGAACUUGUCCUUUACUUCGUGUUAUUUAUGUUAUAUCACGAACUUGUCCUUUACUUCGUGUUAUUUAUGUUAUAUCACGAACUUGUCCUUUACUUCGUGUUAUUUAUGUUAUAUGACAAAAUGCCACUGUUGGCUUGUCUAGGAUAUUUCCUUUUCAGCCUUCUUUUGUUUCAUAGAUAAGUGUUAUGGUUAAUGAUUGUAAUUUUUUCAUGGUCAAGUGGUACAUGGUAGCACUUGAAAUCUCCAACUACCUAUUGGAGAUUGAAGCUGAUGCAAUUGUUGGGCUUGUCAUCAGGUUCUUGUGCGAUUUCCUACUGGAGAGCGCAAGGAAAGGAGGUUCCACAGUUCAGCUACGAUCAGCUCCCUCUAUGACUAUGUUGAUUCUCUGGAUUGCUUAAAAGCUGAGAAAUACAGCCUGGUUUCAAACUUCCCUCGCGUCUCCUAUGGUCCAGAGAAGCAUUCGCUGACAUUAAAGGAAGCAGGUUUGCAUCCACAAGCAAGCCUGUUUGUUGAGGUGGACUCAUGAUCUGCAUUAUGAGGGGAUGAGGUCUUGGUGGUUAAACCUGAAGUUUUAUGCUCACUGUAGAUAUUUCUUUUACUUCCUUUUGAUACAAGGAAAGUAGAGGAAAGUACUUCAUUGUGUGAACAUUCCCUAAUAUACUGUCCUCUGUAAUUUAGGCUAUCUUGUUGAUCCUUCAAUUACACUUAUGGAGAUUUCAAUUUGGCGUUUUUCCCUCUUGUACAAUAAAGUGACUUUGGAAUACAUAGGAUCACAUUAUCAGCUUGUCUGGCCGUGCAAUAAUCUCAUAAAAUUAACAUUCCUCUUGAGUAAAAGGCUUUUGCUGUAUUUUGAUCCUGUCAAAUCUUACUUCAGUUACCAGGUCAUGGUACACCGCACUAUGAACAACACAUCUCACAAAAAUUUUGAUUUCAGAGGGGCUAUUCAGAAGAACUGAUUGUCUUAAUUUAGCGUGACUUCUUAGCUUGAUGUAUUAGAUUACUAACGAUCAUACUUGAGAAUGAAGAACAGAUUAUUACUUAAAUUCUCUUCAACUUAUUGAAAACUAUGUGAAAUCCAGGCAAAACAAUGGCGGAUGAUUUGUUAUAUACCCGAGACAGCCACGGUGGUUGGUCCCUCUGCCAUUUGAUAAAGAGCACCAGAAAAGCUCACAUCACCAACAUCGCCUCCUUGAGCCAGGAAGUGUGCAUGCUGGUUUUUUCCAAGAACCACCAGAAAGACAGGCUAACAAAUCUUGAGAUUGGAACUUGAGCACCUACAAUAGAAUUCCACUAUUGGAUCUAUUUAAAGCCAAACAUAUGAAACACUAACACCAAAGGAUGAACAUUUUUAUCGAAUCUCGCCGAUGCUUACACAGUUUAAAAAAUUGAAUAGAUCAAAUACUCGUAUCCAGUCUCCUGUGAUAUAGACUCGAACAGUAUGGUUUAACCGCUUGUCAUAAACUACAGCAAUGAUUGCAACUGGAAAGUGUAGGGUGAUUAUGAAUACCAGCAGCUCCACUGUGAGCCCCUGGCUGUCUGCAACCACCAAAAUGGGUAUGAAGUGAUAGUUCCAUGCAGCAAUACAGCAGAAAGCCUGUCAAUCCGAUGUCCUGUUCCGACGCAUAUUGUGAGUUCGAUUCUUUGGGCUAAAAAUGUGCAUACCUCCAGCAAAAGAGAAUAGCUAAAUAUGCAAAAAAUACUAAGCAGCUGAUAGGAUAAGUAUAUGCUCCAGUUGUACAUUACAUCAAGAUCUGAAGAUUCUUCGAGUGCUCGUGUUAGCUCUUGUGCAAAAUGAGGGUUCUUGCAAGUACCAAAGCAAAACCACCUCCACCAGCACCCACCAACUUGUAGCCCAGCCACAGCAGUAGGGUUAAGCAACGGUAAAGAGCUUGUCUGGAAACUCAGUUUGCUGCAGAAAGGGUCCAACUCCUGAUGUAGCCUCCAAGCCUCUAGCAUUAUAUCACCCAAUCCAGAGCCUCCCUCCCAAUCUUUGCCAAUUCUGCAAGGCUUAAUACAGGAUAUUAACAGAUUGUCUCCACGGAGAUACCAAGUUAGCGCCUUCUGCAAUACUUGGUGAGCAAGCCUCGCCAGCAUUUUGGCCCAAUGGUAAAGAGAAUGUAAUGAAAAGAACAUAACAUGUAAAAUUUUGCUGCUAGACCCAGUUUGAUGAAAAAAAAUUAUAAAGAAUAUUUCAAAUAUAUGAAGUAGGUGACAAUUAUAAAGACCAUAAAAUGUUGAUAAACCCAUUGUCUUUUAGAAGAGUUAACUUAUGAGUUAUGACAAAGAUGAAUUUCAAGGUUAUAGCUAGAAGAACCUACCAGAUCAAAGGAGGGUCAGUACUCAGUAGUAUACCAAAUUGCAUCUAUGGAAAUCCUUCCAAUUACCACUUCAUUGUCGCUCAUAAAACAUGUGUAAUUAAGUCCAACCCAGCUGUACCUUGUCCUCAGGCAACUCAAUUUUUCUCCCCAUCUACAUUAAACACAAUGUAACACAAGAAAGUGAUUUUGAUAGGAGUGUUCAAACUAAUUUGGACAUGCACAAACGUGGAGGAUGUGGGUGGAGGUUUAAAUAAAGCUUGUACUUUUGCUCCCCUCAAAUUAUUUUUAGAGCCUCCUUUACAAAGAGGUAACUACUUGCAGUCACUAAAACAUGACUGAUCUAUGAGACCAUGUUAUCGUUAAUGAUAUGUUUUUGAUUGCGGCUGCGAAUCAAAUGAAGCUCAUAUUCUAAAACUCAUCAUCAUUAGUACAUACAUAAACAUAAUGCAGAUUGAAGCAUAUAUGUAUGUAUUAUUAAGCUACAAUCCCAGCUCAGCCAAUUCCUAUAUUGUAAAAUAUAUGUCGGGCCAUCUGAUAUGAGAAUUCAUACCAUUAAUAUGAUUUACAAAAUUGAAAAUGCUUAAAAGCCAAAAUUCAUAGAUUAUUUUCUUGUUGCAUCAAGUCAUGAUGAGAUUGACAAAAUUUAAUAACUACUUAAUCAGAUUUAUAAUUUAGAGGAAUGACUAUGACAUUAACGCAUAUUGAAAAUGAAUAAUAAUGCAGAUUUUUUCAGCCAACAUGAAUCAGAAUACCAUUGCUUUAUUGGAAUCAUCCAUUUGGCGUACACCUGAUGCUUCAGCAACAAAGCUCCAACUAUCUGGCUUCUCUUUCAAGGCAAAGCUUUCCCCUUCCAACUGGAUUGGAUAUGGAACCAUAUGUUACACACUUCUCAUUAAGUCGCAAGCUGUUGAUGUGCAUCAAAAUUAAUUCCUAUAUUAGCUAUCUUAGCCUUCAGAUAGGUGCAUGUUUCCAUAGUUAUUAAUCAAUUAGAGUAUCACCUCAGAACCACCAAUCCUGGUGCACAUCAACAUCCAUUGUCAUUGACUUUGCUGCAGAGAAUGUACUCUAGCUCUGGUGUACAUAGCAGAGAGAGGCUAUCAUGAGGUCAAACAAAUCUGAGGGCAAAACCUGUAGGAUAAAAUUUAAAGAUGGGGACUGCAGAAUGUAACUCCAAACCAAUGGACAUGAACUAAAAAAUCUAUAUUGCCCACAAUGUUUUUAAGGCCCCUAAACAAUAAAUCAAGUUGUCCCAAGAUGGAUGACACAAAUAGAGCUAGUGCUCCAAAAUGAGUUGUAAGCUAUAAAAAUUAAAACCCAAAACCACUGACCCUGAUCUGGGCAUCGUAAAUCAUAUAAAAACCAAAAUCAAACUUUUUAAAUUGCUUUUAGUCCAUAAAUCAGAAAGUUGGGCAGAUUGAUGCAUAGGCAAGAAUGCAAUGCAAGAGGUCUUCAAAAGACAAUUUUUGGCCUAUCGGCAUUUUGGAUAUUCUAGAUCACUAUCUAUUGAUUUUACUCAAUGAUAUUCAAUCUUAAACUUAGCCUUGCAACAGUCUACCUCAAUUUAUGUCAGCAUCCAAUAUCUUCUGCAAUCUGCAGAUUAAUGAAACAUAUAUUUGUGAAUGGUUUUUGUGAUUAGCUAGUACCAAAAAUAAGCAUCGGACAUAUAGAAUUAAGGCUUAGUUGAGUUGAGUAUUAUAUCUUUUACCAAAUUAAUAUUCUGGUCAGUAAUAUCAUAUGCUGUAAAAUAUUUUUUUUUAUGAUUAUCAAUAUUAAUUUCAUCACUCUCUCACGUUGGCAAGAGUAACCUUGUCCACUUUACAAAAGACACACCUUCAAACCCUAAUAAGCAAGCAAAUUUAAAACCUUCAAGGCUUCAACCAAAUACACCAUAGAUUGAAAAACCAUAAAACCAUGUCUUAUUCACACCACCUAAUUUUAUUUCUCUAAAACUAGUUCUCACCAAAACCAGCUCUAACAACCAACUAAACUAAAACACCAGAUCAGGCUAUUUUUUUGAGAGUUAAUUUAAAGUAUGAUAUGCCAUAUCAAGUAAAAUCAGAAAAUAUAUACAUCAACAGGCAAGAUUAUAAUUCUUGUUUGUUUUCAUAAUAGAUUCCCAAGUCCUCCCUCUCAGGAAAAUUUGUGGAAAGGCAGUAAUUAUAGAAGAACUCUGAUUUCAAAGUAUGGCCAUUGUUUUACAUCACAAAAAAACGAAAAAAAAGGUAUGGCCAUUAAUAAGCUAUGACAGCGAUACCUAAACCUGGGAAGCCAAGAUGCUUUGAAGUUGAAAACUUCAGUAACACAAAAUAUUCACAGCAAAAAGGUCACACGGUUGUCGUACAACUUUCCAAAACGCUCCUUAAUUUGGCAAACCUAUACCAUGGCAGUUCAAAAAGGAUAAAGGGAAGCAAUAGGAGUUCUAUAUAUCCAUUAUCUAAUUCUUUUGUGUGAGAUGUUUUUUUGUCACCCAACAGUGCUCACAUUGAAAGCAUGCACGCCACAUCUAAGUAAAUUUUUUAAAAAAACUAGAACUUUGGCUGUCAAUUUUUUCCCCGGGGGGGGGAGGGGGUGAGGUGACAGAAUCAUCAAAUUACCUCACACCAUUCGACAAGUUUACAAAAUUCACCUUUUCUAUGAAUCAAUCAACAUUGCUCCAAAAAUUUUAAUCAUGAAGGCCAACACUGUAGCGUUGAUUUUCAAAAAUUAGCAGAUAUUAAUACACAAAGUAACAUCUUAUCGCUUUGUACAGAAACAUACUCACAUAAGACUAGGUGUAAAAACAUGUAGUCCAGCUACAAUGUGUUAAUCCCCUGGUGCUGCCAUUUUAACAAAAUUGCAGCAUCAUUUAUUGUUAUCUUCAUAAAAACAUAUAUAUAUUUAGCAUAUGCUUUCUCUGUUUCCUUCCUUCUGCUCAAACUAUUUGGAACUGAACCAUUUCUAUAUAACUGAAAAUACAUAAAAAAGAAAAGAAGUUUAAGUAUCAUGAAAACAAGGGAAAUACAAUUCAACAAAUUAUUCGCUCUUUAUGACCAAUAAAAAAAUAUGAAAACAUCACAAUCAGGGUACAUUGUAUGUGUUGACCAAAAGCAAACAAUAUUAAAAUCCCAGAGAACAAUGAAGUUACCUAAUGCCUAGGUCAAGCUCCUUAUAACCCAUCAGUUUUAUCUUGUUUCAAACGAUUGCGCAUAAUCAAAACCCUUCAAUUGAUGGCAAUGCCAAUCCAAUUCUCCUGCAACCUGCAACUUCAAUUAAGAGAGGAAGUCUGUCAGAAUAAAGCUUCGAGACUUGAGCAUUGCCAUUCAACAUCCAGAUUUACUUUCUCAAAAUAAUGCCAAACUUCACCUUCAUGGGUGGUCUUAUUUGACAGUUCAACAUAAUAGACAAUCUGGACAGUGAAAUUACUGGAUAUUCUUCAUUAAUAAAAUAUGUAUUCUACAUUAGCAAUAUUGUAGUAGCUACAAUCAUGACUAAAAAGCACUGUAUCUUUAGAUCAUGAUAGCAAAUAAAUGCUUUGCUAGUGCAUUUCAAUUUUUCACAUAUCUGACAACAGCAGCUCCACCAUUUAUACCUUCUCCUACCUGGCCAUAGACACCUAGAAAUCAGAAAAAAGAAAAAAAAAGUACAAGCAACUUUAGAGUUCUCAGACUGCCUAAAAUCGUAUGGAGCUUCUUGAUAAGCUUAACUUUAUCUGUUGAUUGCUGAACCAUAAUUCAUGGAGUUUAUCUUACAUCCUUCAACGAACAUGUUUCCCAUGCAUUGCAGCCAAAGAUUCAACAAAUUUCAAAUACAUUACAAUUAAGCAGAUGGAAAAUAUAUGAUUCCAUCCAGUGCAAUGAAUAAGUUCACAUUUAUGACCAUAAAGCAUCAAAACGAUGUUACAAAGGAAGAAGGUAGGUGUAGAGAGGAAGUAGAGGUAAAUGAUGUGAGGGCAUCUUCUUUAUCUGACUGUCAUUCGCAAAUUUAUGCAGAGCAUUUAUAUUGGUCAAACAUAAUAAUCCAAAGCAGAUAAGACUCUUAUGUACCCACCAUUAAAACGCUGAACUCAGGCAACAUGAACUACCAAAAUUCCCCAAUUCACAUUAUACUAGCUUUUGCUCGCCUGAGAUUUUUUUAGUGAAUUCAAAACGAAUGGAUAUUUAGCUAGUACAAAUCCCGAGACAGUCCCUUGCCACUCAAGCAGCAGGAAACAGGAUUGACCAAGCCCAAAAGAACACAACUUCAAACAUCUAAAAACCAGGAAAAGUAUAUUCUUAUUAAGUUGACUAAAAAGUAACACAACCAUUAGUAGAUAAUAACCAAAUUUAGCACAUGAACAUUUCGAGUAAAGCACAAUUUUAUAGUAUUGAAGCCCAAAAGCUUAAUUACCAGAACAAAACAGUGCAAGUGCAUUGAAUUACCACAACAUUCAAAUCCAUCUGGAAGUCAUCCAAGGCCAGUUUCUUUUUGGCCCUCAAGCCAUUUUAAAGUUCGCUAAAAUGUGAUUUGUGUUCUGUGCCAGAAGAAGGAGGCUUCAUUAGAAUUGGGAUAUAACGUAUAUAUUAUAACAUGCAGCAAAAUGUAGUAUAUUUUAUUGCUUUCAGUGCAGUCCCUGAUAUGAUUCACAAAAUAACAUUUGAAGAUGUUUAAAAAAUAUUAUUAAGUCAUAAAUCUGGUGGUGAUAGUUUCAAUAUGAACAUAAAUACAAUUUUACCUUCAGAUAUUAAACUACUGCUACACAUCCUGCAGGAGAGGAUUCACUUAAGCUUUGUGGCCAAGGUCUAAGACUGUUCCACUUCAGCUCUUAUAGAAGCUCCCUUUAUGAUAGGAAGCUUUUUUUUCACUUGGUCUGGUAUAAAUUACUCCUUGCUGCAGCAUAUCAUCUCUGAAGAUUGACUAAUUUUGAAUUAAAAAGAAAAAGACUGGUUGGUAAUAAUUUCUGUGGUUUACUUUAAAGUUGCCUGCUCCAUCUACAGACAAGAAAGUCGUCAAAUAACAUUAUUAUCUUUCUUUAAACUUUUGUAUAGUUUCAGUGAUAAUAUAGAAAGAUGUUCAGCUAAUUAAAAUGAUACUUAAAAUUCACCAUGUAGGUGACAUUAUCCUCUCCUGCAGAUACUAAACCAUCAUCGCAUGCAAUUCCCUUAUUUUCAUAUACCUUUUACAACCUCAUCUAGUUUGUCCGGAGCUCUCCAUCUCAUGCCAUCCAUUUAAAAUCGAAAUUUAUGACUAUGAUUUUCCUACUUAUCGGUAGUAUAGUCGUGUAGUAUAACCAUGUCCUCAAAUACUUUAUGAAGUAUGUUGAAUAAAAAAAUUCAUGGCUCUGCAUAAAAGCAGAGAUAUCACACUCCAUUGUGUAUGCAAAGCUACUGUGGGUUUAUCACUUCUCCAGAAAACUAACAUUUGAUUGAAGUAAAAAAUUUACCAUGUUUUCUCCAUUUAGUCUUGCGGGAACAAAGGAAACCUCUGAGACCCACAUCAGGCACAUGUGCUAGCAUGAUGAAGUGAAACAAUAUUCAGGAAUCACCCAAAACUGCUAAGUGCCAACUGAAAAUCCAACUUGCAACUCAAAACUAUUCAUCUUUCAGAAUCUUUUAAAAAUAAAUAAACAUCAAUAAAGAUUUCCAACCAGUGAGAAAUGAGAAAUGAGCAGUUGAUGACAACUUGCUUCUUGGCAAUACUCACGACCAUGAGCUGUCUUCUCAGCAACUUCAUAUGAUGAGUCUCAAUGGAGUAGCUCACAAAACUGAUCGAUGGUCUUAUGCAGAGUUAUGUCAUCAAAGAAAAGGAUGCAAAAUGUGAUCUAUGCGAUGGAGAUACUUAAUAGACUACAUUUUAAAGCACAUUUAAAUAAAAGAGGCAUCUGUUAAUUGCUGUCCACACAAAAAUAUGUAGAAAUCUUGUUGCACCACGGACAAUUUAAAGCAACAUCUGGCCUUUCUAUACUUCUUUGAAACCAUUAGAGUUGUAUGAAAAGCAUAUACCUAUUGCUGAAAAUCUCUGAACAUUCUACUUCAGCAUGUACUAAUAAAUAUGGUUCUGGAUAUGCAUAACUUCUUCUUUUUAUUAAAAAAAAAGUAAGAAAAGUAUCCACAUAUUAUAUGCAGACAUAUAAUGUGAUCCUAUAAAUAUCAUAGAAAAUUGCAUGAUUUACUAGAUUAUCACUAAUUUAGCCCCAUAUAUCAUAACCUUCUUUAAAGCCAGUAACCAAGUGACUAGAGUUGACUAUAUUAUAAUGUUCUUCCCUUUCCUGCCUUCAGGUAAAUCCACAACCUUAAAUUUAUGCAGACAGUUCCAGCUGCUUCCACAUCCUAAAAUUUUUGUAAGGCUCUGCUUUGCAACUCAUGCUUCCAAUUAGGCAACUUCUUGUCAAAGAUGAGUGCAUGUCAAAUAAAGCUGAACAGUGGUGAAUUUUCAAGGUACCAAACAUAUUAAAGAACUGUAAUAUCUCAUUAAUGCACAACAAAUCAAAUCCAUGACUUCUAAUUUCCACUAUCAAAAACUAGAGUGCCCUAUGAACAGGAGAUAAUAGUCAAGGAAAAUUAGUAAUAAUGCUGGAAAUUGAUGUCAUAUGGAAAUAAGUACAGUAAGAAUCCUGGAGGAAAAUUACAGGGAAAAAAAUAUCAAUACUACCUACAAAAAGGUGAGAAAUUGACUUUAAAGAAGUCGAUCUUUCUUCACUACACACUAAAUCAUCAAAUCGGACCCAAAUUAAAUAGGAUAAUUCUUACUGGUGAAGAACAUUUAAUUAGGUAUUACAGUAGAUUUUAAAGGAAACUCGCUUAGGGUAAAAGACAACUAGAAACCGCCUUAAGAUUUGAAAAUCACAUUGCUGGGACAUGGACAACUAAUUAUAGAUCUUAUACUCUUCACUUCGCCAAUGUUCAAGCCUGCAGUAUGAAGCAUGAUAUCAAUCAGACGGGUAAAAUUGAGGGAAAGAUGGUGUACUCUCUCUUCAUUGAGCAUAUUUUACCAAAAAUUUCUCAGACCAACAAUACAUGAUAUAAACUGGACCAAGUGAUCAAAUAACGAUUGAUGUUUCCUACAUACUAAAGGGUACAAAAUUCCACUUUGUUAUCUUUUGAUAGGUAAAAAGAACUUUCAAAUAUAACUAAUCAUAACAGAUAUAUCAAAAUUAAAAAGAAAAAGUUAUCACUUGCAUGGAUAUCAGUUUUCUCCAUGGACAGAGCUCCAGCAUUUUCACUCACUUUACCCACAUUACCAGUGUCUCCCUGAUCAUGUGGAGAUUGAUCAAAGAAUUUACUUCUGAUGAAAGAUAUCAUCAGAAAGAUUGGGUAAUUAUUUCUGAAGUCUGUGAGUGACACAAAAUGAGGAAGAAUAGAAUUAGAGAAGAUGGGAAUGGAUCUUGUUCACAAAUAAAGGCAUAUUGCCUGAUCAUACUAAGCAUUCAGUGAAGUAAAAGAUCAUGGUAACUUAGUGGUAGCAGAUAGAAUGGAAACAGGGCCUCCUAGUAAAAGCUUUGCAAUAUUAUGUUUAACCUACCGGUGUCAGCUUUCAGUAUCAGGAGAGUGAAGCAAUAAGUCAAAUUGACAAGAGAUUGUGCUAAGUUGAACAACUUUCUCCACAAUAAUUGUCACGUCUAGAAGCAGUUCAGCAGGUUCAUACUUUGGCAAAAGGCUUAUGGUUAAGAGAAGAGAUCUGACAUGGUAGAUACAUUGCAAAAUCGCAAGAUAUAGGCCUGUUUGGAUGGCCAAUGAGAUCAUCUGCAUAAUAUCUCCCAUGUGCACAGGAAGGUGUGAUCAGAUGAAGCAGAGGAUGAAGAAGUAGAAGAAAUCGUGAGAGCCCAUAGAUCCUGCAAUCCCGAUGUCUAUUGAUUGCAAAGGUAAAAAUUGAAUGAGUUGGGGGAACAUUUUUAUUAUGAAGUGUUGAUAGAUCAUUGGAAGAAAAGGUCGAUGGUAAAUCUAAGAAGAAUCAUCAGAGGUUCCUCAAAUUUAGAAAAAUUAUAUGACUAUAACCAUAAUCAAUGAAUCAUUCCCAUUGUAUAUGAGGCAUCCUUUGUGAAUCCUUAUUUGGCGUUUAUACAAUAUCUUCUUAUCAUUUAAAGGUCAACCACCGCCUUUUAUCUGCUGAACAUAUAAUAAAUAAGAAUCCAUUUUAGUUAGAUUACAAGCAAAGAACUCAUUGCAAGACAUUCUUAUCAUUUUUUAAAUGACAUCCUUAUUGCUUUGAAUAAGACAAUCUUGCCUUUAUUAACUUGAAACUAUAUAUGUAAGUAAAGAAAAAAGAGAAACAUGAUCUACAUACACGAACUUGUGAUUUAUUCACAAAGAAGAAUAACAGUUUCCAGUACACGACCUCUACAUAUGGCCUGGCAGCAAGAACUGACAACCAACAGGGAGUGGUGUAAAAGAUGAACAUUUGGAAACAUGAAAACACUCAAAAGGUUUGUGUCACAAGACCAAGGCACUUCCAUUCAGAAGCUUUACCAACACAGCAUCCACAGGUGGGAGCUACCAGUUCUCCUUCACAAUUUUUGACUUCUCAAGUAUAAACUUCCCUUCUUUGUACUUCUGCGUCUCCUCAUAAGCUCUUUCAUAUUUCCAGCCCAACACUUCACGACAAUCACAGCAGUAGAUAUCAGCAACCGUAUGCAGUCCUGUCAUUAGCUGCCUAUCUUCCUUUGGCCCCACAACUAUGUUCAUUGUAUGAGAAAACAGAAAUGCGCGCCCAUUCGUCCCCUGAGAUCAUUUUGGAGGUUGCAAAACAUAGACUAUAUCAUUCUCCGAGAGUGCAAGACAAGCAAAAAAAAUAUGAUGCAUAUAUGUCAAACCAGCAAUUCCCUUUAAUUCAAAUCCAGUAUCUUCAGUUCCAAAUCAUUUUGAGAAAUGUUUGCAAUCUUGAAAUUGAAUCUUUAGAGAAUCGCCAAUAAUGUGGCUUCAUUUUCUCCAUAUGUGCAUCGAACAAUUUACGAUACGGGAGGCAUAGUAUAGAUGGAAAGAAACAAUCUGCAAGAGUAAUCCUAAAUCACAUCAAGUAUAAGCAGAGUGAUGCAAGUGUUCUUCACCUGAAAAGCUUUCGAAAUGAUAUCAUCAUGAAGAGCAACAUUGUUUCGGCAAUUGAAACAGCUGUAAAAUCGAGGCCCAACGACUUCAGCCAUCAGCGCCCAGACCUUCUCGUCUUCAAUUGCCCCAAUUAGGAAAAAUAUGAAUCAGAAUCCAACAUAAACGCGAGUAUUUGCAACCACCAGAAUGCAUCUAAGACAUCAAAGAUUAGAAACCUAACCGCCCAACCUUCUCUGCAAAACAAAAAAAUCAAAUGGGAAAUAAGCAAAAUUAAACAAACCUCUAAGAGAUAAAAGAACUUCUACCGCUUCCUCCUCCUGCCACUUUCCUGCAAAACCGAUCUCCCAUUAUCCGAUCUCCGACAACUUGUCAGGCAACGAUUAAAAUCCAAGAAAAAAAAACACGGCCGCAUAAACCGAAAUGAUACGGGAGUUAGAGAAUUAAGUUAAUUAACCACUGAAAAACUCGACACAAUACCAUGGGAAACAGGGUUUACUAACCAAACAAGCGAUGAAUUAUUUUAAAAAUAAUAUACUGAUAGGAGCAAAGUCAACUGGGAGUCUGGAGUAUACAUCAGAAAACUCAGGCAUCCAUCAACAAUUAACAGAUUAAAAUUUGGUUAAAGAAAAAAAGUGCAUCACGCUGGAAACCAUCAGGUGUGAAAGAAAAUGAGGGGAUUCCACCAAAAAAAAAGAGAGAAAGAAAAUGAGGGGAGAAAGAGAUCGUGAAAGGGAAUUCAAAUCAUAAUGUGAACAAAAACCCAUUAAAAAAAAACCCGUCAUUUCUUUAUGGGAUAAGAAGUUGUACAUAAUUUGUCUGAGAAAAAAAAAAGAGGUUUUAGAGAUUUACCAUUUAAUCAACCAUUGAACAAGCAUACAGAACCGAGAGAAAAUAAGACUGCAAAGAAAGAAAAAAAAAUUGAUUCCUUUCUUGGAAGGCCCUGAAAAAUAUGGAAGAGAAGAACGAAUUGUUGGUUAAUUAAAGGAGGAGGGCAGGAAGAGGCAGAGAUUAAUUGAAUGAUGAUCCAAGGGACCUGGCCUUCUGACGCCUUUAGCCGGGGAGAGAGAAGAGCGGAGAGGGGUUAGGGUUUUUUAUUAUUUUUCCCCUCUUCUUCUUCUCCGUCUUCAUCGAAAAUGCUAUGUGCACCCCGAACUUUACCCAGAAGGCUGCAAUUCGGGACUUUGGUGAACCGCUGAGGGAUAAAGCCGUUACGCCCCACUUGUCACUUUGUGAACUUUUCAAGGGGAUGCCAUCUUUCGCGUGAAAACUUUUGUACUCCGGAAUUCCGAUCGCAUCUAAUUCCUAAAUUAUAUUAUCCCAUUUAAUACCUAAAUAACUAAUCGAUAUGUGUCGAUUUGUUUGAGUCUGGACUCAAUCAAGGCUUGGGCCUGUGGGGCUUGGUUGGGCCACUUUGGUCUCAAAUCGAGUUAGAUGAGGAACGAGCGGUCGGUAAGAAGCAUCGAAGCUCGAAAGUGAGCCCCAUGAAUGAGUCAACUCUCGAGCCAAGAAUGUGCUCGUAUUCUUUUCUGUGAGUUGGGCUCGGAGCCUCGGGCUUAUUUUCUAUAUUAAUGAUGUCGCUAUAUGGAAGGUAAAUUUGGUUAAAGGCAUGCUCAUAUUAUCACUUAUUUAUUUUUGAAGAUUAUGAAAGUUACAUAAAACUAAAUAAGAUCACAAAUAGAAUUGAAUAUUUGAAUGUAGAUUGAAUAUUUAUAUGUUCAUAUCCCUGUAUUUAUUUUUGGAAAGACUAUAUUUUUGACCCUUCAACUUUGCCCGUAUAUAUAUGUCCCUACUUUAGAAAUUUUUAAUUAGAUUCCUAAUAUUGCAAUUCAUUUUGAUGUGAUCCUUUCAUCAAUCUCUUAAUUAACACUAUUAACUACUAUCCAUAUUAAAACAAUGAAAAUACCCUAUCACCCAUGCUAUCCUUCUUCUUCUUUUCUUUCUUUUUUUUUUUUUUUUUUGUCUAUAACGGAUGGUUCAUACACUUCUAGUAUGGAUACAUCUAAAAAAGUCAAAAAACAACAUAUCACGGAGUGCUCUAGAUAGCUCCCUUUUUUCGACCCAUAGGGUUCUCCCGGAGUAAUCGACUAUAUACAAGGUCAUCCAAUCCACAGCCUCAUUAGUCUCUCUGUAAACAUGUUGGCCUGAAACACAAUAUUGCCUCUUACUACGGCCCAAUCGAUCACGGAUGCCCUUGAAUCCAGCUGAUAACUAUGGCUGAGUCAUCCUUAAGUAGUAUUACUCUGGCCCACAAAAUACGCCAUGCAUAACCCAGACCAGCCCACGCCACUCUCAACUUUGCCUUUAGAAUAGAAGUGUCAAAGAUCUGGCACCCGCCAGCAGCAACCACUCUAGAGUCCGAGCCCCUAAUGACGAAGCCUACACCACCUCUCCUACCACUAUCAAGCAUGCCAUCCUUCCUUCAAACACUUCUGCACGUCGAUUUCAUCCAUCCCACCAUUUUGCCCUCCUCCAAAGACCAUCUGCCAUCUCCUAACCUCUUCCUAUCUUUCUCUUUAAAGCAUCUUCAUAUAUCAUCCGUUACCAUCAUAUUUGCAUAAGUCAGAGAUCACCAAAAUAUAUAAUUCUUAAUUUUUAGCUUAUUUUACUGGUUUCGAUAAUGAUCGAUAGCAUAGAUUUUUAGUAAAUUUUAGAAUCGAGAGAAAUUGAUACCUUCUCCUCUUAAAAGAUAUGUAGUACAACUCGUCGCAUGUUCAAGAGAGAACUUGAUACCUCCUCCGCUUAAGAGAUACGUAGUGCAUGUCUCGCCACAUAUUCUCGUAUUCUGCACGUACUAUUCAAUAUGAUUUACUAUCUCAAAUUGCUUACGAAAAAAAAAAAUCACAUGAUCCAAAAAAAUAGACAGUUUAUAUAGCAUGAAAUAAUACAUAUUUUGAUCAUUUGAUGCAUAGAUUAUAAAUCUCGAAAUCACAUAAUUUUUUAUGUAUAAACAGUUUGAAUAUAUUAAAUCAUAUCCAAUGGCACGGAUCAUUGGUAUGGAACAUCCAUUAUUUAAUUCAAAAAAGAUAUAAAUUGAUCACCUUCUUAUAAAACAAACUAAAGCUUUAAGAGUAUUUAACAACUUUUUCAAGGGGGUAACUACUGUCCAACAAAAAAGAACAAAAAGGGGACUGACCGCUCCUAUGGAUCAAAAUUAAUCAACCGUAUCGUAGUUGGUGCCAUAAUCAUUUUGCAUUAACGGAUCCCUAACACAUUCACGGGUUGCUGGCUGUCGGUGAUAGGUGACAUCGAUGUCAUGUCUUUCAUCAUCAUCCUUGUUAUAACAACAAACCAAUGCGCGCAAACUUGGUUUAACAUAUAAUCGGAAAAUUGACUUACUGUUCACUUGACUUCCACAAGAAUAUUAGCCCCGGUUCUCUCGAAUAUAACUCCCGACAACUUAAUCGAAUAAAAUUAUCUUUGGGAUUCUUUUUCUAAGAUCAUGACUCGGGAAACUAGCAAACAAGUGGAAAAGGGGGAUGCGAUAUCCACUAAUUAAGCGACACAUCAUGCAAGAAACCCAGCCUUUCAGCAUCUUCAUCUUUCCGGUAUUCCAAUUGGAAAACUUUCUGCUGAAGUUUAAGCCUUGUGGUAACCCUGUGAUCCAUGGAAUUCCAGGGUCUUUCCUCUCCUCUUCCGAAUGAUAAGUAAUAAAAGAUACAAUCCAGUCAGCAGCUGAAAGAUGUUGUACUUCUGCAAUAGCUGUCGGACAUCCUCUAAUAACGGAUGGCCGAGCACCUCUAGCUUUUUUUUAAUAGAAAUCACUCAAUCAAUUUUAGUGUAUUUGCUUCUAGAAUAAUGCAUCGGGCCUUGGGAUCCCAAACACCCCACGUCGCUCUCAGCAGCCAUCACCGCACAUUUUGCACGACACCAGGAUGAGGAUAACGAACACGAGAGACGCGUCGCGGGCGCUGUGGACUUUCCUUUCGGCCCCGAGCCGUCCCGGUCGGCCAACCCAACCGAAACGCACCAAACACGAAGCCGAAAAGGCCUCGACCCCGCGAAGCUUCCACGAAACCUCCCCUCCAAGAAUCGUCCCAACCAGCCAAGCGGCCCCUCCCUUCCUUUCCAUAGGUCGCGGUCGUCACGUCCGGCCUUAUCGCAACCUCCUCCUUCGUAGAAGCUGUUAAAAAGAAACUAUUUUUUUAAAAAAAUCGAAUAAAUACGCGGCUAUUAAAUAGGAGUGACCACUUCUUCAUUGGCUGUCAUAGACGAAAGCAAGAGAAAAGAAAACGCUUCUUCUUCUUCUUCUUCUUCUUGAGAGAGUAAGGAAAAAAGGAGUGAUGGCGGAGGAAGGGGAUCGGACGGAGGCCGUGGCGGCAGGGGAGAUGGAGUACGAGGACUUGAUGCCGACGAUGGCGGAGAAGCUGGAGGCGGAUGAGUUCGUGAGGGAGCUGUGCGGGGGGUUCCGGCUGCUGGCGGAACCGGGGAGGGGGCUGAUCACGGCGGAGAGCCUGCGGCUGAACGCGGCGGCGCUGGGGAUGGCGGGGAUGACGGCGGAGGACGCGGCGGCGAUGGUGAGGGAGGGGGAUCUUGAUGGAGACGGGGCGCUCAACCAGACGGAGUUCUGCAUCCUGAUGGUGCGGCUCAGCCCCGGGAUGAUGGAGGACGCGGAGGCCUGGCUCGAGAAGGCCAUCGCCAGGGAGCUCGCCAAACCCUCUUCGAUUUGAUUUAAUUAGUUUAAUUUAAUUUAAUUUAAUUGUCUAAUGUGGACAUGGAAAUCGAAGAUGGUGACGAGAUUGGCAUGGCUAAUCGCGUCCCUUGCCUUGCAUAUGUUUCCAUUGUAAUGAUACUUGGUAUUGGAUAGAGUAUAUUGUUUUCAGACACUAUUUCACUUUUUUUUCUCAUAUUUAUUUAUUUAUCAUUUUCAAGAGACUUCCGAUCGUAGUAAAAUGCUGUAGUAGAUAAUUAAGUUAAAGAUAGGCUCCAUCUUCGAUUUAUCAAAUUAUUAAGUACACUCAAAGUUACUUGAGGUUUGCCUUGUCCUCUCUUUUUGUCCAACAAAUUUUGAGGCCAAAAGAAUGCUUGUGUAUUUCGAAACUGGCCUGGUCAGACCUAAAUCCAGAGCAUGACAUGGCCGUGCUAUCGAGGGAUACAACUCAUAAUAACACGAAACCAAAUAUUUUAUUUAGCUUCCAAAUUCAUCUCAAACAAAAUAGAAGAAUUAGAAAUCUAAUUUUAUUAUCCAUUAAAUGCAACUAUUAUUGGUUCAGUGCUUCAAAUUCAAACAUAAAUACCAAACUCAUAUUUCUCAAAAUUUAAAAAAUUACUAAGCUACAAAUUCAUAAUUAAUUGAAAAACUAAAAUUCUACUGUAUAUAUCGUCAAGCUUGCUAGCACGAACUCUAAGUAUAGACCAUCCUUCGUCCCUACUGAUCUUAUUCGUCUAGAGAGGGAAAAAUAAAAAUAGAGAUUUAUGAGCAACAUAUUUCAAUAAGUAAACGUUUCACUACCUUACCAGAUCAAGCAUAAGGUUUUGAAAGAAUCAGUACAUCAUAAUGUGAAAAUAACAAUUAUUGCAAGAUAGAAUAUUUCAUAGUAUUAUAUGAUAAAAUAAGUCAUAAGUCAAUCAUGCAUGCAAUAUCAACAAUAUGUCAUAAACAGGGUUCCAUGUGUAUAACUUAAAUAAAAUUAUAAAUUAUUUACUAUUUUACCAUACCAUUGAUCAAAUUACUUCUCUCAGACUAAAUGCUAAGGUCAUUAUUAUAUCCUAAAUAAGGUCGUAAUCGUCAAACACCAACCACUAUUACCCAUUGGUAGGAUUGUAUGCCAACUACUAUUACCUGCUAGCGGAGUCUUAUGCAAACUGCUAUUACCUAUAGGAAGCAAAGGGCAAAUGACGGUAGUGGCCGGCUGGCCAAAUUCGAUUGAAGAAGACCAAAACAGGGGUGUCCCGUUUUGAAAGAAGUUUCGGCAAUUGUCGGCUCAAACCAAAGGGAAAAAAGACCCAAAACAUCCAAGAAGGAGGAGAAGAAGAUAAGGACUCUUACCUCAGUCCGGCGAGGCGUUCCGGCGACUCUUUCUGAUGGAAUCGGAGGAAGAACCUUGGAAAGAAUGCUUGGAAUCGACGAUGAACUUUGGCAAUUUCAGUGGUGAAACUCAAAGGAGAAGGAGAAGGCCUUAAAUAGAUGAUUCUUAGUAUUUUUGGUUGGUCUUUGGAUCACCCUAGGACUCCCUGAGUCUGGAGAUAUCGGAGGAGGAAGAAAACCCUAGCUGUCUCCUUGGAUGGAGUCCGGGCCGCCUAAAGAAAAAUGGAUUAGAUGUCACUUCAAGUCGAGUUUAUCUUCCGGUAGAUUCCUCCCAAUUUUUGGGAUGAAAGCUAGCAAUUGAGUAUAUUCUUCUUUCAGGCAGAUUAGAUGGUCAAAAUAUAACUCCGUCACCUCCAAUUGAGAUCAUUCUACUUUCUUUCUCCCUUUUCUUUUAGGAUAUAUUAAAUAGUUAAAAUGUGACUCAAUUAUAUACUCAACUUUUCUCUGGCCCCAAUGAUUCUCCAAAAAUGAAUCAAUCCAAAUUUGUUCAAUUAUUCAUGAAUUCUACGAAAAUUCUGUGAUUUAUUCAUAGCUAAUUUAAGAAAUUUUAGUGCGCUACAAAUUAAUGAUGUCAUAUAUUCUUACUAGCAGUGUUGUUUCUUAUUAUCAUUUAUUAUUAUUACCCUUUCUAUCUUUUUUUUGAGUAAAUAAAUUUACAAAUAUUUUGGAAAGCUCUUUUUUGUUUUACUAUUUUCUUCUAGUCAUAGAUUGUCCAAAGUCUUUCCAAACUCUUAACGGAUUCAUCAGAUAUAUAUUUUCUGAAUUCCAUAUCAUUUAUCUCUAGCCGAAUUCUUCCCAAAUGCCGAAUUAAGUGACUAUAAUACAAUGAAUGCCAACCUGCAUCUGCCCACAGAAAGAAAUCUCAGUUCUCCAGGUCCAAGUAAUAUCGUCGGGGGUUAAGUUAGCCCAUGGGCAAGGGUUCUAUAUUUCGGUCCAAGACCUCCGUGAAAUCUCUGUCUUGGCAACACAUCAAGCACGGGCUUGCCCAUCAUUUCAUACUUAGUUUACUACACAAGGCAAGCCCACACAGUUUCUUUUUCUUUUCUUUUUUUUUUUUUUUUUGGUUACUAACAGCGGGUCACACUCUACGUGUGUAGAUGCAACCAAUAAAAAUCAGAAAACAAAAAGGCCAAAAAAUAGAAUCGGCACUGCAUCGUGUACCAUCCAUACAAAUCCUCCAGAAUGGUGAGCCACAUAGGAAGCAAUCCAGUCUGCUACACUGUUUAUUUUCCGGUAGAUAUGCGUGGCCUGCUGAGAGCCACACUCCUCCAGUAGUCUGCGUAUAUCGAGUAGCAAUGGCCUGCCCUCGCCAGCACGUCCCCGACCCCGGAUCCAGUCAAUCACUUUAGCCGAGUCGCCCUUAAGAAUGAGUCGGUCCACUCGCAAGAUUCUCCAGGCAAAGAAGAUGCCCUCCUAGGUGGCUCCGAGCUCAGCACACACCAUAGAAGGGCCGAAAAUUUGCUGACCUCUCGCCGCCACAAGUCUGGACUCAUGAUUCCGGAUGACAAAGCCUGCGCUUCUGCAUCUCCCGUCCUCAGCCCACACAGUUUCUUAGGAAAUAACUUCUUGUCCCAAGUAAUAUGAUGCUUACCCUUCUUUUGGGCAUAAUUAUCCCAAAUAAACCCUCGGUAAUCUUGGCAAUUUGGAUCCAACACACCGUCAUGGAUCCAAGUAGAAGCCAUCCAAUAAUUUGGUACAGAACCCAAGAUUGAAGAAGGGUUAUACGUCCACUUAAGAGAGAUGCUCCCUCCUCCACCUUGACAAUUUCUUUUCAAUUUUGUGCUGGAUUUCAUUAGCAUCACACCUAAAAGUACGCUUACCAACCUAAAUAAGUAAAAAGAUUCAUAUUUCUACAUAUUAUUUUGCUCAGUCUACGACGAAAAUGGUUACAUGACAGCAACGAUGUAUUAACUCUCUUUACCUUUUGAUCCGUGAUGACAUGAUAUUGCUCAAGUACUUUUUNNNNNNNNNNNNNNNNNNNNNNNNNNNNNNNNNNNNNNNNNNNNNNNNNNNNNNNNNNNNNNAACCUACCCGCGUGGUAGUCCCCAUUGGGCCCCUCUUCCACCAGAAAAUGUUUGAUGCAGGUCGCAACUUUACGCGUGCCCUCUCUGACCCAUGGGUUACCCCACGUCUGAGUACGUCAUUCCAAUGCCACAUCGGUACUAGCAGAUCAGAAGUGCUCCCACCAGCAGCGUCCAAGCAGGGGGCAUCCGGUCCCCAUAUUUAAUUGACGCCGGCAAGUUUCGAAUCUGGACCACUCUGGUGAAAAUAAAGCCCUGUUCCAUCUAUGCUACCACUUUGGUGGCUUGCUCAUGCACUUGACCGACGGCAUUAGUCUUCCAUUGCCGCUCUUGAGAAAAACAAUGGCAUCAUCUCCAUAGAAUAUAUGACAAAUUCUACUUCUGUUUCCAAUAUCGAUGCCCUGAAUAGCUCUCUCUUUUAUCUUGGAAAUCAGUAAUCCAGUGAGAACCUGAGAGCAAGAAGAGACGAGGAGACAGGGGAUCACCUCAUCUUCUCUCUAUUUGUUAUUUCUUGCUUGAAAUAGGCAAAUGAGCUUCCAAAAAAAGAUGAUAAAAGGAGGUAAGCGCCCUUCGGUAUAGAUUAGACUCAACCUUCCACCAUCUUGGCACUGAAAGACAAAGUAUAGAUGGGAGCAGGUUCAUGCAUUUCCUUUGCACUACCAUUCAUGGCUUAAGCCAAGUACACCAAAGAUCAAAAAACCAGCUCAUUCUGGCCAAUGCUAUGGCUUCCAAGUCUUCCACUGCCCCGAAUUUCACCACCCUAGGUGUUGUCUGCCUCGAAACAAGACAGGAGUUAUAUAUUCUGCAUGAAAAUAUGAUUCAUCUUUCUUCACGCAAAUCUGUUGAUGGAUCAUGCAAUAUGAGAUACAUAUAGGGCUCGUUUGAUUUACGGAAAGUAUCUUUCCUUCUAGAAAUAUGAUUUCUGGGAAGCAGAUUUCAGAAAAGAGAAUGCCUGGAAAAGUACUUUUGGCAUGUUUGGUUGACAAUGGGAAAGUGACAGAUUUCCAGAAUGCUUAUAUUUGGUUGAUCAUCCACUUUUCUAGAAAAGUUAUAUAUAAUUCCUAUUAUACUCUUAAUAAAAAUUAGGCCUUUGAUGCCUCUUUAAUGUCGAAGGAUUUUUUUGAGAAAAAAUAAAAAUGGAGUGAUUUACGGCUCACGGAAAAGUAACUUUUCUGUGUUUUUGAUUUUUCCAUGAAACAUGGAAUUAUAAUCCUAUGGAAAUACAAAUUUUCCGUCUCUCUCCUUUGUAAACUCCAACCAAAUAAGAGGGAUCGCAUUACUUUUCCAUUGACCAUAUUUUUCCCCUCCUUUUUCCGCGAACCAAACGCGCCCAUAUAUAGAUAAAUAAAAGUUGGAGUGCUUUGAGAUCCAAGCAUGUAAGAUUCAAUGGCUGAUGCCAUAAGAGAACAUCAACCAAUCUUUCACAUGAAAUGGAGAAAUUAUUCCUUAGACUGGGUCUACCACAUUGGCUAUAGAGUGAACCUAUAACGGAUUGCCACUAGACAUGCCUUCCACCUCAGCUCAGAGUUAAAUAGAAACUAAACCGAGGAUGCGGCUGAGCUCCGUCCACGUUCGAAUCUUCUCGUUCGAGCGCAACCCUUCCCACUCCUCCUGAGCGCUGCCUCGCAGAGUGUUCGUCCUCGGUGUUGGGGAUUCCGAUCUCCUACUCGAGGACCAUUCCCUCGUCUCUGUCGCCGCCAUCCUCGGCAAUGGCGGCUAGGUAAUCAAAUUCGCCAUCGUUGGCUUCCUCCCACAUUACGGGAAUUCAAGAUCCAAGGAGAGGAUUCUAAGCUAGCGUUUGGAGAGAAGGGAGGCCAUUGGGGUUUGGGUGGCUGGAGAUGACGGAGGAGGAGAGGACGACGGCGAUGGUGGUGGUGGUGGUGUAGUGGGAAGUUAGAUAUUUCGAAGGGCAUGAGAAUUCUAGAAGACAAAACUGUUCCUUAGGCUGAGGUGGCAAGCAUGUGUCCACAUGACGAGCCAUUAUAGGCAAUGUCUACAGUUGAGCUAGUAGAACAUGCAUUAGGGAAUAAUUUCUCUUCAAAAUGAGGCAUGGCGGCACUGUUUUUUUUUUUUUCUUUUUUUUUUUUUNNNNNNNNNNNNNNNNNNNNCUAGUGGUCGUCUUACUUUUUUGUUUUUUUUCUUUUUUUUUUUCUUUUUUGAAGGUUGAAUAGAGGAAAUUAGAACUUCCCCCAUUGAAAAAAAAAACAUUAUUAGUAAAUAGAAGCAUAUUGUACAGCACUAAGGUUAUUAGGACUUAUUGGUGGGAGUCAAGAAAAGGAGAAAAAAAAGCAAGCACAGAUCUCCUGCAAUGCAUGGUUUGCACUGUAGAGCAUCAAACAAGACAGCCUAAUAUAUCAUAUACAAUGCAUCUUAUCUGAUAACCGUUUAUGAUCUUCUGAUGGUGGCUAUCGAGUGCUAUAUAGGACUCUACAAUACAAAUAGUGCACUGCAGAGGAUUCUCGAUCGUUAUCCUGACCUGUCACUUAUUUACGAACCUAAGCCUGUUUAGGCAUGAUCUAUUUUUUUAACAGUGGUGUAACAUAUAUAGACCUAGUUUAUGUCCCAAAGGAAGAAGCUUGAACGAGCAAACAGAUCAUCCGGCUCACUCAAUUUACUUCUUGGACUCUGAUCACCCAGACAUGAAACCAAGAAAGAGGGUUUCCUUGCUCACAUACAAAUUUAUUCUUGAAGAACACCAUAUAUUCUCGAACUCGUAGACGGGAGAACAUACAUCAAACAGAUUCUGCUGGCAAGAAACUAUUCAACUAUUCGAAGUCAGGACAUACAUAGAUAUGGAGGCAAGAUAUCCCUUCUUAUUCGACUAUACCGAGUACUCCUUCAUUUAUGGUUGGGUGUCCUCCCAACCCCAGAAACAGACCGGAUCUUCUCCUUCACGCGUUUGAUAUAAUCCUCUACUUUCUCAUUAAUAUUCUUCUUUGACCCUUCAUCUGCUGCCGUAGCCGCUGCCUUUGGUGGUGCUGGUUGCGGUAUUGUCGCUGCCUUUCGUGCUGCUGGGGUCGGCACCGCCUUGUCGGAGGCCUUCUGAACUGGCACUGAUAUAGGCGGCGGCGGCGGAGUCGUUGGCUUUAGUGCAGACUUGGGAGCAAUAGCCUCUGAUGGUUUCUUCUGAUCAGUUGUAGGUGGUCUGGGUUUCUUCUGAGGGCUCGGUUCUUUUAUGCCCGAGCCCAAAGAGUGGUUUGGCGAAGGAUUGGUGGUGGCUUCGGGUUCUUGACCGUGGAGAGCGAGGCGGCGAUGUGGUCGGGAACCAGGGUUGAAGGCAUCGAAGACCUUCUCGCACAUGCCUUUGUGGCUGGAAGUGGUUGUUUCCUUCUUCUCCAUCUGGUGUAGAAGAGAGAGAGGGGGAGAGAUUGGAUUAGUUAUGAAGAUGGCGAGGUGAGAAGGGUGGUGUAUUUAACGAGGGAUGGGGUGGUAAGGAGUGAUGGCUCCAAUCUUGCAUGGGUAGUGAGAACGCUGGAUGAGAGUUAGCAUGGAAGUCGAGUGGGUGGGGAAUGCAUUGCUUUGCAAGAUGCCAAACGCCACUACUAAAGCGUAGUCUUUUUACGUUAUCAGGAUCAUAUUCUUCGCUGCUUUUCCGGAAUGGAGAUGGUCUGUCGUUUUGUAGUUAAAUCAGUAAGGAAUAGCAGAUCAUAGAAUGUUAUUGGUAAACAUUGGUGAAUGACUGAAAGGUACUGGGCAUCAGAGAUAUUGGUUUUGGAGUAAACUGCAAAUUGAGAACAGUAGAAAACAGCUGUUAUUCGAAUCACGUAAUGGUGAAUUCUAAUCGGAAUCUUUAUCUUUAAUACGUGUUAGAAGGUAAAAGAUAUCAAAUUGAUGGUGGGAAUUAUUCUCGCCUUUGUCUAAUGACUCGACAGCACGUAGAUGGCGUGGCGACUAUCAAAAGUAGAAAGAGGAAAUGACAAAGCAGGUGAUUUGAGCAACAUAGGCGAAUCACAUCACCAUCAAAUAACUAUACCGAAGGAGGGUUGCAUGACGACACCAUUAAUUAGCCUGUUAUCCAAAAGGCAGACCAUCUAGGUUCAGUCCACAUGAAUCCUCCUUUUGAAAAUGUCCAAUGUGUCUAUGAACAAUAUCAAAAUGAAGAGGUUCAUAGAGAUUCAACUGUUCCAUAAAUCCCAAGGAAGAUGUGGAUUGAUGUCAUGGGUCAAAACACUGUAAAUUAGGCUUAUCUUGUAAUUAAAGGCUUAAAAUCUCACCCAAAAAGUUGUCGAAAUGUAUUAUUUCGAUCUCUUGGCCCUGUAUAUGUACCCAAGAUCUAUCUAAUAUAGAACUAAAUACAUGCUCGUACGAAUCCUCGUAUACUUUCUCCUCAAAGCCCUACUAUUCUCAUCAAAUUAAGGAUUCAAAUCAAAUCAAAUACAAUCAUAAAUACCAUGAUUAGUCUGUUGCCUGCUCUAAAAAGGUUUAUGUUGUAGUAUUCCUUAAUCGAUAAGGGUCGUUGACUAGAUCUGCUCUAAUACCAUUUGUAAUGAUCCUGAACUUUAUCCAAAAAUGCCCGUCAAAAAAUAUUAUUUUGGUUCCUUGGUUCUGCUAUGUAGUCAAGAUCAACUUAAUAUAUGAUCAAUAUAUACUAAACACAAACCUGCAUGAGUCCUCAUUUAUCUCUAUAGGCAAUACUAACUCCAUAUAGCAAAGGAGAAUACCCACCUUUGGAUUCUGAAGAGAUGUUAUGUGAUGGUUGUUUUUAGCUAAAGAAGUAUCGCAAUUUAAAAAUAUAUGAAAUAGUUUAAUGUUGUACUUAAAUUAGAUCGUUGAAUAGGGGCUUCGGGUGAAAGGACUUUCUGAGUGAAAAGGAUAAUUGUUCCUAAAAACUAAAUUUCAUCGCCUAAGGUAUUUGGUGAAGAAAAAAGUUUUAUUGUCAAGUUCGUAGCCAAUGCCCCGUCACUAAAAAUCAAUACGAAAAUAGUAAUUCGUCACAAAAUAUUCAACACUUUGACGAAAUGAAUCUUGUUGCUAACAUAUACAUGACAGAAUAAUUCGUCGCUAAAAGCAAGUAAACAAUGUUGCCUAAAUAUCUAUUUUACCACGAAAAGUCGUCUCUAAAAGUCGCAUCCAUUAUUUUUUAUUAUGAAAGUAAUUUUUUCCAUGACGAAAGUAUUAUUGUCAUAAAAUAUUUUGAUGAUAAUUUUUUUUAUCACAAGACGAUGGUUAUUAGUGACAAUACUAUUUCAUCACUCAAAAUUAGACAUUUGGAUGGAAAUCUUUUUCUAAAUCCGACUGGAUUUGUGUAUGGCAUUGAAUAUGCUUACAAUUUUAAAUAUGGGAAGGAAUUUUAUAUACAUAUAUAUAUAUAUAUAUACACACAUUUAUAAAGGAUUGACAAAUCAAGUAUUUGGAUGGAAAUCUUUCUUUUUUUGUUUGUACGCCCUACUACUUGGCCACUAUAAUAACAUUAGCUUAUAAUAUAAAGUUAUAGAUUGUUAUACUUAUUCUAAACUUGUUCGUAUUAUAAAAUAUUUAUAAUAUUUAAUAACUUUAUUUAUAAUAUAUACUAUAAUAUAUUUGAAUAAUAAAUUGAAUUAAAUUGUAUUAUAAUAAUAUAAUAUAGGAUAAUGUAAUGUAAUUUACAUGAUUUGUUGAUGAGCAUUUUAAUCACUACAAUAUUUUUAUUAAACCAAAAACAGCCAAAUAGAGUUGUUGAAAAAAAAAAACUCCAAAAUAUAACUUCUCCUAAGUAGAGUUUUUCUUAGUUUUUUAGAAAAUCAAAAAACACUUCCCAAUAUUUUUCCAAAUACUCUCGUAUCUCUUGAAAGUACUUUCUGCCCUCUAUAAUGUAUUUUUUGAUUCUCCAAAAGGUCUUGCAUAUAGGGCCUAAAUGUACCGAUGUGUUUCGGGAUACAAGGAUGCCAUCUGAUCUUAAUGCUGAAGAAUUAGCUUGCUAACUAGUUGCUAGUCCAAUUCCUCCUUGUGAUAGCCAUGGUUCGGUCCACACGAUCAAGAGUCACAAAAGAAACCGUUCACCACUAUAUGAAUUUUCUUUAUUUUUUGAUAUCGAAAGGUUUGUUAUCAUUCUUCCGAACUUUGGUACUCGGCAGCUCCCUGACAACCUCUUCGAUCUCUGGCAUAAAUGGAGGGAAACUGUUUCGAGGAACCAUUCAUCACUAGCGAUUGACACCCUUCUCUGCAUCGGACUCUGGUGUAAUUGGGAAGAACGCGAGCGAUCAUCGCAUUUUCAGGGUCGAGGCAGCGGCGAGUAGGGACUAGGGAACUGGCAAAACAAGCCGUCCUCCUUUUUAGAGACUGGACCUCCACUCCUCAGAAUGUUGAGAUCCUCGGGACGGCUGCUGCCUUGCGCUUGCCCGAAAGCACGACCGGUUCGCGGUGCAAAUUCACGUUGAGGCCAUCUCCUGAGCCCUGCAUGGGCAGUGUGCGAGUGUCUGUCUCAUCAUUUCCCAAAGAGGGCUCCUUUUCAUGUCCUCGAUGUGUCAUCUUCACCCGAUUUCAAAGGCUCUCAGGCGAUCUUCGCUCGCGUGAAAUCCCUCAGCUCUCACCAAGAAGAUGAUGUCUUGGUCCUACUGAAAAAGUUGAAGCCUCUCCCAUCUCAUAUAUACGAUGUCAUCAAGACGGGUAGAGAACUCACCAUUUCUUGGCCUGGCAUGCGAUCAGAAAAUGGCGGAAUGGGGCUCAGUCACCGCUUUGCUCCUCUCCGGGUCCGUCACCUCUUUUGCUCUUCUUCUGUCCCUUUUUUGUUAUGUUAUCCCAAUAUCUCUGUAUAUGUAUUUGUUUUAAACUUGUUUGAGUGAUGAAGCUCGGGGGAAGUACCUUACUUCCCUCUUUUACAAUCAAGAGAGAGAGAGAAAGAGAGAUGAUUCGCAUGAUUCCUUCACUGAUGUCACAGGCGUGUAAAAUAAACCCACAUUAGAACCGCCAUGAAAAGCCAGAGAUGCCAUCGACAACAAGCAGGAAAAAAUAAUGCGUCUGAAAACAAACAGCCAUUCAGCUUAAGAGAACAAAAGGAAACAUCUAAAGACCGACAGCCAUCCAUGUUUUCGGACAACCCUCCCCUUAAGACCACUAAUCCAUCAACCGGCAAUUUGCCAUCCCAGAAAGACGGGCUCGCUUCCGUGCUCUAAAAGCAUGGGCUGCUUUAUCAGUAACGGAUGCCUACCUAGUUAUCUCAGAAAACAUAUGCCUGCUUAGCAUCCAGAAGGCCGCAUAUAUGAUGCAAUCCAUAAGGGACAAGCAGCCAAUAGCACUAACUAAAAUUAUUUGGAGAGAAGAAUAAGAGAACAAAACCAUUAGCAAUUAUCUUAUAAAACCCUAAAGAAGAAACUAACAUCCAGUCAUAGCAGUAUAGAUUUUACAAGAAAAAAAGGGGCAAGAAUCUAAUACCCAAUUAUAGAAUAUUACAUAACCACAUUGGUGCACUUGCUAAGACUGACCAGAGAGUAGAAGGAACAGAUGCAGAAAAGUCUUAAUAACUACUGGUGAUUUGCUCAAAAUGCAGAACUUCUCACAGAAUCCAGAUGCUUCAAGUCCUAGACCUCCGAACAGGAGACCGGCUGUAUAAAAAAACACCAUGAUAAGUUGAUCAAACAAACCAUUGAAAGUUAUCUUAAUACCAAAAAACUACCAUAGCCAUCAAAAAGAGAUUUCACUGAAACACGCAUAAUAAAAUAACAUGAAUAUUCGUCUCGAAUUGUGCCCCCAUUAUGAAUCUAACUGUUCGAUAUAUUGGCCUAAGUUCAAACCCAUAUAAUUAAAUAAAAUUUGAAAGUUUUCAAUUGACUUCUGCACUACUUCAUGCAUGCGGUGGUUGAACAUCCAAAAGCCUAAAAGCACCUACGCAAUCAACACCCAAGAAGGUAAAAACAAAUCUGCACAGGUACAGAUAACAUCAAAAAUAUAUAGCACAACAACUAAGUUUUGCAGUCUUCACCUUGGAUAGCGAUCAUAAUCAGGACUUCUGCUCCUACUAUAUGACGGUCCAUCAUAUCGAUCAUACACAGGACUACGAGCACGACCAUAGUCAGGACUUGGGCGCCCCCUGCGGUACACCGGACUAGGAGAGCGACCAUAAGGGCUGUCAUGCCUUCCAUAACCACUUCUUCUAGGGCUGUCCCGCCUGUCACCAUACUCCCCAUCAUCCCUAAAGGCAUACUCGACUGAUACCACACGAUCCAAUAUCUUGCUGCAAAGUGGAAAAGAGAAAAAGAUGAUGAUGACUUCCCAUCAUCAUGUACUAAGCUUUCAUGCAGUAUACUUAAAACUCAUGGUAAAAAACACAGACAGAAAAUAAUAGGCAGCAAAAAUGAAAUUUAAGUACUUCAAAAAAAUUGAAAAAUAUUAAUAACAUUACAAAAAAGAAAGCACAAAGACAUAAAAUUAUCAUAUCUGAUACACAUAACUAACAUUGCCAUAACUUGUUUCAAUGGCUUAAAACGUGCAUAACCAGCUUCACAGUCAAUUUCAAGAUGAGUAGGCAAACGAUACACUGGAAACUAAUCUAGGUACAAAAUCAUCUAAAUCUGACACCCAUAUCAAAGCAUUUUAUAGGCAAGCACAAGAUGAGCUCGCCCUAGAACCAGAACAUUCAUAAUGAUUCAAAAGGGAAAAAAAGACCUCAGGCAUCAUGACUACAAAGCACAUAACCCCUUACAAAAAAGAUCAUAGCGUCUAAUAGUAAUUUUCCCAGUUGACCCCAACUGGAAAAGCUCAAGAUCAAAAAAAUUUGAUGAAUAAAGAGACCCCUGGUAGUGUGCAUUGACAAACGUGUGGACCCCAAGACAACCAAAAAGAAAGAUUAGACUAAAAAAAUAAGAAAAAGUUUGGAUAUUGGUGGAAGACUAAGAAUUAAAAUUAAAUAAUUAAAAAUGUUUUGGUAAACAGGAAAAUUCAACAACUUUCAUAUAGCAUUCUGAAUAAUAUGUUAAACAUUAAAAAGAGUUGUCGCCAGUUCAAAAGAAACAACCUAUCAUCAGUAAAACUGAGAAAAAACCUUCAUAAUAGAAUUUAAGAAUAAUUUAUAAAGAACUUUAUACAUCAAUCAAGAAUGCAAGUCACUAAAAGGAUCACAAAGCAAAUCAUAAAUAGGCACAAUUUGGUUUAUGAUUCUUGCUACCCGCUCAGAGUCCCAUUUGUAAUGGGUAUGUGUGAGCAUGAAAAGGAGAUUGAUCUAUAAUUAUCUUCCAAAUAUUUCUGAUCACUAAACCUGUCAGUUUUAACGUUAAGUAUGCAGAGAUACCUACUCAUCACCAACAUGGAUUAUGCAUGUGCUUCCUAGUGUAUGUGCGAGACAGACAGAGAGAGAGAGAGGAGGGCAUGCAGAAAUCCUCUAUCAGAAGCAGGACCCAUGCUCCAACUAGAAAUUAUGUCAAUGAGUGAGAUGCAGAACUACCAAAUAUUCAACAGAUGAUUGCAAAGAAAUGCGACAAAUAUACUACCCCACAAACUAAAUACCAGUUGACUAACAAGUGAUACCAUAAGUAACAUGAUCAAGCCUCUGUCGUAACAAAGACAUGCAGGUCAAAGUAAAUGUAAGACAAGCACAUGCACAACAGUAGCAUGCUUGUUUUAUUGUUAAACAAGAAAAUGCUUGUUUUAUUGUUAAGCAAGAAAAUGCUUGUUUUAUUGUUAAGCAAGAAAAUAAACACCAAAACUUUUCCAAACUGUUGCAUAAACAAUUUCGGCAUGAAAAACAUAAAUGAAGCAAAAGGGGAGUAUGGAGGCUAACCUCAUAUUUGUACAAUCAAGGGCCUUUGUCGCUUCCUCCUGGGUUUCAAACUGCACAAAUGCAAAGUUCCUCCUAAUCCGAACAUUUAAUAUCGUCCCGUAAGGUUCAAAAUGCCUUUCAAUGUCCCUGACUCUUGUACGGAUUGGAUCAAAGUUGAUAACAAAAAGUGUUUUAGUAGGCCUCAUGUUUCCCAUUGACCUAGAGCCAUCACGAUGUCGUGGACCACGUUCUCCUUGCUAAAAGAAAAUACUCAGAUAAGCAAUCAUCAGAUGCAUAGCAAAGCUAUUGCCAAACCCAAAUCAACAUGCCCAAGGAAAACAUCAUUAAUUGAACCAUACAAAUUUAUAACUAAGACAAAUAAAAGUUUAAAGAAAGGAAAAUUUUCUUUCCGGAAAGAGAAAUUACCCUUGACCACUCAACUGACAGUCUGCGCCUACUGUAGCCAAAAGGAAUAUUGUCUAGGCCUCGAAUGGCAUCUUCAGCAUCACGUUCAUCUUCAAAAUAAACAAAAGCAUACCCUGCAACAAACAAGUAUUAUAAGAUAGAGAACAGCAUAAAAGCGAUUUGCAUCAUUUCCAUUGCCCAAGUGUCAGUAUGAUAUCCAAAUCAGGUUAUAUUCCUCAUGAAAACAGAAAUACUACACCUGCAUAUAUCUGUAGGCCUGAACAUUAGUAUGUGAAUAAUGGAAUCCAUCUAAGGUAGGAACUAAAACAUGAUGUCAUAUGAGUUAAUUCCAAGGUAAGUAGUCACUGCCAAGCAUGCUUCACCAGAAACAGUGUAGGCAUUCGGCUGGCAUGGCAUGAUGAUAUUGGUUGGCAUGGCAUGAUUAUAUCGGUUGGCAUGGCAUGAUGAUAUCGGUAGGCAUGGCAUGAUGAUGAUGAGUCCUCAACAAUCAUGCUCGGGCAAUGGCCACGUUGGACAAUGCAGAGAUGAGAAACGGAUGUUCAUGUGAAAGAAAUGAAGAGUGCCGGUAGUGAAUGGAAGGAGCUGAUAUGCUGGCAGGAAGGUUUCCUUUGACACGGAAGGUUUUUUGCAUGGUAGUGCUGAGCCCAGAAAGAGCUCGAUUUCCCUUAGUAGUUCCUGCGUCAAAGCAAACAUUUAAAUAUAGAUGUCCUUCAAACAGAAAUUGCAGCACUGAUCUUGUCCACAGUCUGAAAUUUACACAGUGGAUGUAUAUAACAUUAUGUCAGCCAUGUUGAGAAUUACAAUUCUGUUGUGGUGAAAUAAUCCAGUUUUGACAUUACACGCUAAAGGAAAUAGCACUAAAGUUGCAGUAACUUGUAAUAUAUCUUGCUGUAUCUAUGGAGAAUAACAGAACAAGGAAAAAGUUACACGUGCAUAUGCAUAUAGGUGAUGUGUGAACCACAAGCUGGCCACCUGAAUCCUUGGCCCCAUAUAUGAAUCUGCACGACCAUGUCAAGAGUGCUUUUAUGAUUUGUAGUGCGUGUAUGCAGCCAAAGCCAAUACAUGCAAGUACACCUAGCAGUCACCACUAAAAAAAAAAAGACUCUUCAUAAAAAUGUUUAAUAACAACAGAAACCAGCCACCACACAUGAGUAACAGCAUAAAUAUGAAUGGCUCUAAAUGUUCAAGUCACAUAAUCAACCUAGUUAUGACCUGUCCACAAACUACAUAGAAGGGCAAGCAAUUUGAUAUCCUACACUGCUCAUCAUGACAUACAAAAGACAGAGUGCAUUCAGACAUUUUCAAUUGUUUUUCAGGAUUUAUUACGCGCUCAUCAACUAAACACUACAUGGUUUUUCUCAAUAAUAGAACCAAAUAUCUUCUUUGAUCUGUGAUCAGGGAGUAUUGAAUCACUUCCUUUUUGCUCUACAUCUGUUUCAAAAUAUGCAGAAUACAGAUAAUAUGUACAUCAUCCACUUGGAUGAUCCAGCAUGCAUUUUGUCACAGGACACCACGAGACGAAAGUAUCCUCACAUAUGAAGAUGGAAGAGAUUAAAACAUAUCACGACCAUAAAAAAUUUGAUACCAAUAGGAAGGUAAUGUUUGAAGAAUCUUGUAGUGAUGAAGGGUGUAAUCUUAGUAAGAAGGUUCUGACAAAAUAUAUUAAAUAGGCUAACACUAAUUGACAGAAGAGGGAUUCUUGUUUGCAUUUUUAUAUUUGGGAUUUUUUAUUAGACACUACUCUUUAAAAAAUAUUUCAAAUUUUAUCCAUCAACUAAACUUACAUAAUUAAAAUACCAAUAAUCCCACAACUCACGUUGUAAAACCACUAUAAUGGUCACAUAGUCACUUUGUCAACCAAAAAAUCUAACUGUUCAUAAACAAAAAUACCUAGAACAACCACAUUACAACUUUAAAAUAAAUAAUAUAGUACACAUACUGCUUGUGUUCCGACUCAUCGUCCAAAUUUCCUCAUAACAUAUUUUAAUCAUUCAAUAACAUUGCACCCCUUUUCUCUUUCAAUAAAGAAGACGCAAUAUUAAGAAGAAGAAGAAUAAGAAGCAAUAUCUGAACAACCAGAAUUAACCUACAAAAAUAUGAAAAAUGACUCAACUACUUGAUCCCAUAAACAUGUGCAUAAAUAACGAUAGAACGUGACUUUUAUGAAAUUGCCUAGCCGUUCUUUUCUUCUAUAUGGAGAAGGCGGAGGGGGGGGCAGCAAGCAAGGAGGUAGUUGAGGUGAGAGAAACAUUUGGAUGGGUACAAAACAGUCACUGGUAAGCCAUAGCUGCUCCGAUAAUGCCAUUCCAACUUCUCCUGUUACCAAGUUUCUCCAUUUUAGGUCUUCUCUGUAAGUAUGUCAACACCAUUCACAGUUCAGCUGAAACAAUGAAGGCUCCAUUGAUCAUCAGCUAAAACAACGAAGAGUCCCAAUUUUGUUAAAGUUUAAUGAAUGCAUAGGUAUAUGCUGGAAAAGAGGUCAACUAAUGAAAAAAAAAAAAUCUUGAUUAACUUUUAACCCAUGGUUAUUUGUUGAAUUAUUUAAAUUUUUUUCCAGAAGCAGAGAAUUCAAAAGACAAAAUUAACUAAAUAUUCAAGCAAACUUUCUUUAAAAGUACUCUUAAGUUGCUCACAACACAAUAGUUUCACCCAAUAGUGAAAGAAAAUAAGAAGCAAAAAGGGUCUCCAUCCAAAUGUCUACACCAACAUAAAAAGUAUAACAGGAAGCAUUAGCAAUAGAAAUAAGACCAUCUCGUCCAAGUAGUCAACCAACAAGUUCGCUUUUAUCUAAAAUCAACAAAUGUAUCCAAGUCUACAUUUAGUCAUAAAGGAGAUAUGAUAAAUUUGGCCAAUAGCAACUGCAUCCUGAACACAAAGAAUCAACCAAAAAAAAAAACUUAAAAAACAAAAAGGG